UUCGGGGGGGUAUGUUCGCAGUGAUUUGGGGUUGUGGGCCUUGCAUGUGAGUAGGAAAAAAUGAAGGAUUAGGAGGGUAAGUGUAUGGAAAAUUUAUGGUGGGAUAGGUGAAAGUUCCUUCGAGUGGAAUAGGGAAAGAUGGUAUAACAGUAGUUUGAGUCGGGGGUAUGACAAAUGGCUCUUGCUCAGGUUGACUGACGGGUACGGGCUCGGGUUGAACUCCGCUGCUGAUAAGUUCAUCAAUUAAUUUCCUUUGGGCCGCCAUCUCAGUGGCCAUCUCACCAAACUUAGUAAGCAUCUCGGUCAGUUGGACCCCCAAACUUGCAGUCUCAGGUUGAGCUGUAGUAGCAGACCUAUCCGACGGUUCCGGCUGUGAACUCAUGUUUAUACGAUUCUUCUGGGCUUGACUCCGGGAUCGCGUUAUGAUGGGGCUUCGACGAGAAGCUAUGUUUAAAUAUUACCUGAGAAUUUGGAAAGGAAUUGCCUUUAGAUUUAGCCCUCGCUUAGCUAUUGCAAUAAAGAAAAAGAAAAAGAAAAAGACAAGAGUUAGUAAAUAUCCAAAAGAAUUCGGAUGCAUGUCCUAUGGGGGGAACCCUUUUUGUGCCAAGGGUAGGCCUAGCAUGAAAAUGCAAUCCUCUAGGGUAGGCACUAUACCAUACCUGAGGGAUCCGAUCAACUUAUUGACAUUUGAUUUAGAAAGUAAUUUGGAAAUUUUGGACCAAUUGAACAGCGGGAAAUCUUCCAACAAAAUGAGGACAAAUCCGAAUGAAUGAUUGGUUUUGGUUGGCACAAGAAUUUAUACACAUUAAUUUAACUUUAACGGGCUUGUUAUUGAAAAAAUUUGAAACUUCCUAACACAGAUCAAAACCCUAAUUUAUCCAAAUCAAAUAAAUGCAAUGGGUGAUCUCCUUAAAAAACAACUAGGCGUUGCAAUAUGAAAUUUGACAUUAAAACCCUAAUUAGUCGACUGGGCUGGAUGAAAUUGAUGAUUUAUUCAAAAAUUGACCGAAUCACCUUAAAAAAGGGUAAAAUGGUCAAAUGCAUUGAAUGAAAUUUGAUUAUUUAUUCAAAAUUGAAUGGAUAACCCUAAAAAUGAAUUAAACUAAUCAAAUGAAUUGAAUGAAAUCAAUUGAUCAAACAGAUCGAGUGAAAUGAUGAUUUAUUCAAAAUCGACCAAAUUGCCCUAAAACUAGGCAAAUGGGUCAAAUGGAUCGGACGAAAUUGAUGAUUUAUUCAAAAUCGAUGAGAUUGCCCUAAGAACUAAUCAAAUGAAUUGAAUGAAAAUGGUGAUCUAUUCAAAAUCGGCUAAAUUGCCUUAAAAUAGGUAAACUAGUCAAAUGAAUUCAAAAACGACCAAGUUGCCCUAAAAUUGAACAAAUUGAUAAAAAGGACUGGAUGAAAGUGAUGAAUAAAAAGGUCCAAUGGAUUGAAUGGAAUUGACAGCUUAUUGGUAGUUUCAAAACAUUUAUUGCGAUGCAUUAGUCUAUGAGCCUUCUAAUAUCAAAUUUUGGCCUCAAUUUAUUUAUCGUCUCAAUAGUGAGGAAAUAUUGGUGAAUUUGUUCCAAUUAAUGUCCUUUACGCCAGGGAUUUUUACCAAAUUUGAUAAAGUGGCCAAAAAGUGAUUAUUAGACGCUCAUAUUCCAAAGAUCGCUCUAUGAAAAUGAUCGGAUCCUACCUUACCUUGUGCGCUACCCCUUUGGAUGGUACAAAAAUGUAAACGUGCAAGUCUCCUUGGAUUAAGUAUCCGAGACACAAUGUGGCUUAUUCCUAACACGGAAUCCCCUAAAUGGCAUUCCCUUUCUAUGGUUUCGCGUGAUGCUAGUUUAUUAAAGCAGCAAAAUAUGCAAUUUGAAAUGAAACAUGACCUAAGGGACCCUUUAUUUGCCAGGGUAAGCCUAAAAUGACAUGACAUUAUUAAUUUAUGAACGAAAUAUAUCAAAAUUCCUUAAACGUGCAAUAGCCUAUCUACAGGGGUAGGUUCUAAAAGAAGGUCAUGCCAGACCUCUUAUUUGCUAGGGUUUGUGAAUGCAAUGGGGACAAAACCAAGAAAAGUUAGUUCAGCCAGAUAAAUACACAUAACACAUUGUAGCAACGAGAUAAAGCAAUCAAUACAAAGCAAUAAAAGGGAAAAAAGGGUUGGAUCCCUCCCCUCGUGAAUAGUGUCCCUAAUAAGGCAAGGCAGACUCUACCCUAGGCAAGCUAUCAUGGAUGCAUGAGGUAUUGGCUCACUAAUGCAUCUAGACUCGAUAGGUUUUAGGUACCCGAGCCUUCAGACUUGGAAACCAAGGGUCAUCAAUCCCAAGGUUCUUUGUCGGUGGCUCGAGCGAUUCCCCAGACAUUGCUACGCACACGUCGUGUUACGGCUACAUGUCUGAGUGAAUCUAUCAAAAAUCCUCAACCUUCGACUAUAGGCUAAAGGCUAUCAACCCAAAGCUUAAAGCGGAAGAUUGAGUGACCCCUCGGAUCGUGCUACGCACACGUCGUGUCGCGAUCACACGUCCAAGUGGGUCGCCUAAAAUCCUAAUAGGGUGGAGUGGCGUGACAAGCCACUAAAAAAAAAAUAAAUGAGGGGUAUAUAAUUAAAGCGUAUGCACGUAUGCUAGUGCUCGUUUAGAGGGGAGGGAUCAAGAACCAAUGCGAGGCUCUAGGGUAAUAUCCCCCACCCAAAUGCAAUGCAAAUCGCGGGAUCACAUAAACCAUUCAUCCAUCAAAUCAAUCGUACGCCAAAUGGGUAAGUGAGUGAGUUGAUACGCGCGAAAUGCAAAAAUCCUAAAAAAAGAAAAAAUGCAAUCCUAAACAUCCAAAUGUAAUAGAUAAGAAGGUUAAAAGAAGAAAAUAAUCGACUAAAUCAAAUGCUCGGACUCUCUAGGUCCCCAGUGGAGUCGCCAGCUGUCGCGCCCCAUUUUUUACAAGAAAAAUAAAUGGUUGGAAAAUGAAUUUUAAUUUACAAAGGAAAUGAAGAAAAAUAGGGGUCUAAAUGGGACUUGAAAAUGCGACGAUUUCACCUAAAAUAAUAGUUUAAAAGGGUUUUGAAUAAAAAUUGGAGUCGCCACUUGGUAUUGAGUUAAGGUGUACCAAGUCACCUAAAAAAUAAAUUUUUUGAGUAAAAUUAUAGAAAAAACCCUUUCAAACGACUCCUAAGUCUACAAAAAUCAGAGAAAAGUGUUCGGGAGUCACAUUUGAUGAGAGGGAAGGCAAGGACGAGGUCCAAGGCACCCUCUCAACCUAGCCAAGGCUAGUUGCGCGAUUUAGUCAAAGAUUUUCUUAUUAUUUUUUUUUAACCAAAAGAUUUAUCACAUUCGGAUGUACUAUAUGAAUGCAAACCCUAGACCUAGGGGGCAUCGGGGGGUAAAAUUUCUCUUCAAAGUUUGAAUGGUGCCAAUCACAUUAAUAGUGAUGCCCAAUGAUGACUCUUUGGAGAGGUCACGAAUAAUGCUAAUGACGUAAAAAUGAGUGGAAUGAAUGUAUGCAAUGCGAAAAUAUGAGUUUGUGUGAAGUGAAAAAGUAAUAAAAAACAAUAGUGUGUAAGUGGAAGUGUGCAAAUGGAUGUACAAAGUAAGGUGAGUAAAGUGAUAGUAUGAAGUGCGUGUGUGCACGUGAUAGUAUAUAAAGUGUAAGUGGCAGAGUGAAAACGUGCAAAAUUAAAGUUGUGUGAAGUGAAAAUGUGGAAAAAGGGAUAGAAUAUGAAGCAAAAGUGCAUGUGAUAGUGGAUAAAUGAAAUGCAUGAACCCUAGAGGAAUGCAAGCAAGACGGGUACGGGGGACUAAUAUCCGUGACUCAAUUUUCCCUUUAAUAGAGGGAAUACGAGCGUGCUAAGGCUAGAAAGCCAAACUCGGCCAGGAAUCCGGCCAAAUUCAGGCCGGAUUGCUACAGUAAAUCUGGGCUGCUACAGUGAUCCGAGCUGCUACAGUACCUCGGAUCCGUAUGGAUCCGAGCUCGGUUCCACUAACCCAGAAACAGCCGAGGGUUCGGAUGAAUAGUGGAUCCGAGUGUGGAUCACUUGCUCUGUUUUUGGCCCAACUUCAACCGAUCUUUUCUUGAUGUUAGAGGCUGAACCAGCUCAUGUCUAAAACAUGAAAGUUGUAACCUUUUGAGUUAUCUUUCCAAUGCAUCAAGAAUCACCUCAUUUGGAUCUGUGUAGGCUGAGAUAUGACUGAAAUACCCUUGCCUGCUCCAUGCCUUGUUCCAGUUUCGACCAAUAGCAAUUGACUAUUGUAAUUCGGCAUUUUGACCUGGAAAACCUUCAAACUGGAUUUAGAUGUCUUCACCAAAGUUGUAGAUCUAUCUCUUAUCUUCAAAUGGGUUUAAGAAUCAUCCCAAUCCGAUCAUUGUAACUCAAGUUAUAGCCGAAAUACGAAAAUGUGUCAAAACUGUCAAAAUACACAAAAUCCAAGUAAAAAGUGAUAAAAACCUCAUUUAAUCACUUAAAAACAUUUAUUCACCAAUUAUAGCCAAAAUGAUUCAUAUUCUUCCAAUAAUAUAACCAAAGUGACUAAAAAUAAUAUAAAAUGUCAUACAAUUAUUACGUAAAUUAGUCACUUAUAAAAAACAUUCAAAAGGCAUGCAAUUUAAACACAUAUAGUCACAUAAUGCACAUAGGGUCAAAUAAAGUGAAAAUGAGGGAUAGAGUGUACCUCCCUUGAGUCGGGUUCUAAUAGAACGAGUUACUUAUUUACCAUCCAAAAUAAUAAAAAAAGUCAAGGUAUCACUUUAAUUAACAAAUAAAUCAGAAGAAAUGGAAAUAAACACUAAAUUGAAUCACUCAAAGCAUUCCAAGGAAAGUAAACUACUCGUAUUAACCAAUUAAGACAAACAAAGAUCCAACUGAAAGAUUAAAGAAGUUUAAAAGGCCAAUUUAUUAUUAUAAACACUAAGGGUCUAAAAAGAAAUAAAAUUAAGAAUCUAAGGUGAAACAUACCAAAUCAAAUGAGAAAAUUCACAAAAUAAAUGAAAAGCAAUUUGCUAGGAUUAAACAACAAAAAUUCAAAAUUUCACUAAAAAAAAUUCAAGUUAAAACUAGAAAUUAUCAAGAAUCAUUAAAUCCUUAGAUCCUUAAAUUCCUAGACAAUCUGUCCAAAGACACAUAAAAUGAUAAAAAAGACCAAAGGAAAACAAUCAUGUCAAAAAGGAACAAAAUUGAUUGACCUUCCAAAGUUUCUAGGCCAUAAGGGAACAAAAAGAGACUUGAGGGAUGGUUAUGUAACUUUUAGAAUACAUUUGCAUGCAUGCAUACGAAGAAGAUUUCUGCAUUUGAAGCUUUCUGCAACUAAACGUACGCCGGCUGCAUUUUCAUUUCAUAAGCAAAUUCUAAGCAGCUUUUAUUUCAUCUAUCCAAACUUUGUAUUAGGCGGCAAAAUCAAUCAAAACUCCAUAUCCAAUCAAGCAAAAACGUAGCAGGAAAAUAUGCAGAUUCUUAUGAAAACUUUCAUGCAAGAUGGAAGAAGAUUGCUGCAACUGAAGGCUUCGGCAACUGAUGAAACCUUCCAGCAACAAAACUAGUUACGACUUUCCUUGUUACAUGCGGAUUCCCUUUAAAGCAUCAGAUUUGAAUAACAAACCAGGUAAUGAAACAAACCCAAUGCUGUUUUGAGCAAAAAAUUUCUGCUAAGGUUUCAAAAUACAGCAACGGGCAUUGAAUGAAUGCCAUGUUGCAGUCAUGUUGUCAUGCCACAUAAUGCUGUUUUAAAUCGCAGCAAGCAUCUACAGGAGAUAUCAUCAAAACACCAGGCAGAGUCCAGAAAGGAAACUCAAGCCAUUCCAGCCACUCCAACAAACCAAAAGACUGAAAUUUUUUGUGUCAAGAUUGCGGCAACAAAGCUGAAAGCUACAAGCAUGUGGCGGCAAGAAUUACUCUACGCUUUUCCAACAUAUGCGAAAGUGCAACCAGCUAUGAAAUAAUGCAAGAAAGAUGCAAAGAAAGGAUCCCACGGCAAGCAUGCACAUGAUACUCCAACCAAAUAACAAGCAAACCAGGAAAAAUUCCAACAAUCAAAGAGACAAAACUGUCCAGACUGCUGCAAUGAGCCGAGAACUCCAAGCUUGUUGCAGCAGCAGAUUCUUAAACAAAACUUCAAACCAACAUAAUCUGAUCCUAGGAAACAAAAUCAUCAAAACAACUCUAUACAAAAAGAAAACCGGCAAACAAUAAAAAGGGAUCAUCUCUAGCCUAUGAAGUGCACGAAAACGUAAGGAAAUAACAGAAAUAAACUAUCUCUCUCGAUCCUUGGCUACGGUCACGGAUUCACACAUGGUAGCAAACAUAACAAAAACAUCACAGAGCAAUUUCAACCUUCUGAUGCAAAUCUGACAGCCUAGCGUAAAAAAAACAACAUAAAGAAACUACCUUUUUUAGAUAUUUCCUCCCUUUUCUGCUCGCCUUGAUUCCUUUCCAGUGGCCUCUCCUCUUUCCUGCUAUUGCCUGAAACUCCUUGCUCCUCCGUGGAUUUCCUCUCUUCCGCCUGUGGCUCUUCGGUCUCUCCUCCGCACUCUCUCUCAAAGUUGCGUUUUUUUUUUGUUCUAAAAAAAAAACAGCCGCCACUCUCUCUUCUUCAGAUUUUCAGUCCCUCGGUGCUCUCUCUAUCUCUCUCACACUGUUCUCUCAAAACCUUUUCCCAGCCCUCUUUUUUUUCCUAGCCGUCAGUUCUACUCUCCCUCUGGUUUCCUUUUCACUCAGCCGUCAACCCUGUUCUUUUCUCCUUACCCUCACUCAGCCGUCAUCAAAACCUUUUUUUUUCUUUUCCUUGCCGUCCCUUUUUGCUUUUAUAUGGGAACCAAAAACUGAACCCUAUCCCCAAUGGUUUGGAUGAAGCCAACUGGUUUGUACUAUCUUCAUUGGACGGAGCCAACCCAAGGCCAAAAUGUGGACUUUUCCCCCUUUUUUUUUUUAUACAAUCACUUAAUUAAACAAUAAAACAAAAAUGAUAAUUUAAACGUAAAUAAAAAUGUACAAACUAGCAACAAAAAGAUGAAACAGAAACUAAGAUUUUUUUCUGUAUUUUUCUCUUUCUUUUUUGAUUAAUAAACAGUAAAAGGAAAUAAACAUAUUUUUAUGAAUGAUUUUCCCUUUUGACAAAUUUUAAAAGUCUUACAAUAAAUAAAAUAAAAUAAAUAGCUAAAGGGUGAAAACGAAUACAAAAUAAAACUAAAAUAAAAAUAAUGGAUAAUAAUAAUCUAAAAAUACUAAAAGUCCAAAACUAAAAAUCAUGAAAUUAAAGAAAAAUAAAAAUAGAUAAGAAUUAUUACUAAAACUAAAACAAAAAAUAAAAUUAGGAUAACAAUUAUUUACAAAUUUGGUGUCUACAUUGUGCACUACCCCUUUGGAUGGUACAAAAAUAUAAACGUGCAAGUCUCCUUGGAUUAAAUAUCCGAGACACAAGGCGGUUUAGUCCGAACGUGGGAUCCCCUAAAUGGCAUUCCCUUUCUAGGGUUUAUGCACGAUGCUAGUUUAUUAAAGCAGUAAAAUAUGCAAUUUGAAAUGAAACAUGACCUAAGGGACCCUUUAUUUGCCAGGGUAAGCCUAAAAUGAUAUGGCAUUAUUAAUUUAUGAACAAAAUAUACCAAAAUUUCUUAACGUUCAAUAGGUCAUUUUCAAGGGUAGGUUCUAAAAGAAGGUCAUGCCAGACCUCCUAUUUGCUAGGGUUUGUGAAUGCAAUGGAGACACAAAACCAAGAAAAGUUAGUUCAGCCAGAUAAAUACACAUAACACAUUGUAGCAACGAGAUAAAGCAAUAAAAUCAAUGCAAAGAAAUAAAGCAAUAAAAGGGAAAAAGGGGUUGGAUCCCUCCCCUCGUGAAUAGUGUCCUUAAGAAGGCAAGGCAGACUCUACCCUAGACAAGCUAUCAUGGAUGCAUGAGGUAUUGGCUCACUAAUGCAUCUAGAAUCGAUAGGUUUUAGGUCCCCGAGCCUUCAGACUUGGAAACCAAGGGUCAUCAAUCCCAAUGUUCUUUGUCGGUGGCUCGAACGAUUCCCCAGACAUUGCUACGCACACGUCGUGUUACGGCUACAUGUCUGAGUGAAUCUAUCAAAAAUCCUCAACCUUCGACUAAAAGCUAAAGGCUAUCAACCCAAAGCUUAAAGCGGAAGAUUGAGUGACCCCUCGAAUCGUGCUACGCACACGUCGUGUUACGAUCACACGUCCAAGUGGGUCGCCUAAUAUCCUAAUAGGGUGGAGUGGCGUGACAAGCUACUAAAAGAAAAAUAAAUGAGGGGUAAAUAAUUAAAGCGUAUGCACGUAUGCUAGUGCUCGUUUGGAGGGGGAGGGAUCGAGAACCAACGCGAGGCUCUAGGGUAAUGUCCCCCAUCCAAAUGCAAUGCAAAUCGCGGGAUCACAUAGAUAAACCAUUCAUCCAUCAAAUCAAUCAUACGCAAAUGUGUGAGUGAGUGAGUUGAUACGCGCGAAAUGCAAAAUCCUAAGAAAGGAACAAUGCAACCCUAAACAUCCAAAUGCGAUAUAUGAAAAGGUUAAAAGAAGAAAAAGAUUGACUAAAUCAAAUUUGCUCGGACUCUCUAAGUCCCCAGUGGAGUCGCCAGCUGUCGCGCCCCAUUUUUUACAAGAAAAAUAAAUGAAUUAAAAAGUGAUUUGAAAAGUGAAUUUUUGAUUUACAAAGAAAGUGGGUCUAAAUGGGACUUGAAAAUGCGACGAUUUGACCCAAAAUAUAGUUUAAAAAGGGUUUUGAAAUAAAAAUCGGAGUCGCCACUUGGUAUAGAGUUAAGGUGUACCAAGUCACCUAAAAUGAAUUUUUUAAAGGAAAAAGAUAGAAAGAAACCCCUUUUAAACGACUCCUAGUCUACGUAAACCAAUGAAAAAGGUUCGGGAGUCACAUUUGAUGAAGGGGAAGGCAAGGAUGAAAUCCAAGGCACCCCUUCGACCUAGCCAAGACUAGUUGCGUGACUUAGUCAAAGAUUUUCUUGUUUUAACCAAAGAAUUUAUCACAUUUGGAUGCACUAUAUGAAUGCAGGCCCUAGACCUAGGAGGGUAUCGGGGGGCAAAAUUUCUCUUCAAAGCUUGAGUGGUGCCAAUCACAUUAAUUGUGAUGCCCAAUAAUGACUCUUUGGAGAGGUCACGAAUAAUGCAAAAAUAUGAGACUCUAAGAAGAGGAAAAGAAUAAAAUAAUUAUAGAAAUAUACAUGUCUUAAAGGAAUGCAUCAUGUCGGGUACGGGGGACUAAUGUUCGUGACUCAAUUUUCCCUUUAAUAGAGAGAAUACGAGCGUGCUAAGGCUAGAAAAGCCAAACUCGUCCAUAUCCCAUAUCCAAGGGGUUAUUCCCUAAUCUAAUCAAGCAAAUGAUUAUUCCUUAAUCAAGCACUACCCUAGUUCUAAUGCUUAUAUGAAAUGCACGUCUAAUGUUAUGUAUCAUACAUAGGGGCAAGUAAUAUACAUAUAAGGGAGAAUAUAGGGGAAGGGGUAUACAUAUAUAAGGAAAGUGUCAUGCGAUAUGGUGGAAAAGGCCCUAGAAAAUAAAGAUAUGGAUGAGAUGAAUGCAUGCGAAUGUACUAGCGAGGGAUGAGGGAUGGUCCUAUUGGAUCUAGCAUUGGAUUAGUCCUUCACUUGCGCUCUCUCACAAGCAUUGGACUUGUAAGAGCUCGAGGGGACAACCAUGACUAGCAUUGGACUAGCCACGGUUACGUGCAUUUGCAUCCAUCAUACAUAUAUAUAAGUAAUGUGCAUAAUCAAAGCAAGUAGAUAUGUGAGCACGUAAUUCACAUAACACAUAAGCAUGCAUAUCUAGAUGCCAAAACCUAAGAAAGCGAUUGAACACAUAACACAUAGACAUGCAAAACACACAAGGCAAUUAAGGCCCUAACUAUUACAUUUUUAGGGGGAAAGCCUACUACAAUCUAAAAGGGGAAAUAGAAGGAAUAAAACGAUUAAAUCCCUAACUAUUACAAUUUUGGCAUUCGAGUGCCUCCCAAAUGAUGAAAUUGAACUAAACUAAGCAACUAAAGAAAUAAAUAAGGUGAAAAUGAAAUAAACACUUAAAAUCAUGCAAUUGCACACAUAAGACACAUAUACGCACGUAGGGUCAAAUAAAGUCAAAAAUAAAGGAUAAGGUGUACCUCCCUUGAGUUGGACCUCUAAUGGGGUGGAAUGACUUAUUUACCCUCCAAAAAUAAAGAAAAGGUCAAGGCACCAAUUUAAUUUGAAACAAUUAAAGAAGCUAUGCAAAUACAAACUCUCUUGACCAUAAAGCUCUUAAAAUCAUGAAUUAAGUGCAAUUUAAAAAAAGCAUGGUAGUUAAUUGAAGCAAGCAAGCAAUGAAGUUGCAAAAAUUAAAGCUGCCAAGGACCAAAUUGAUGAAAUUAUUCAAUUGAUUGGGUCCUAGUUGAGUUAUCCAAGAAACAAGGGACUAAACUGCAGUUCUUAGAACAUUUUCAUGCAAGUUUUCAUGCAAAACUAUGAAGAAUGCUUUCUUUAUCAUUGCUGGUUUCUGCAAUUUCUGCUGCUAUGACUUUCAUAUCAGAACGCAAAUGAUAAAGUCCCAACAACAACAAUCUUUUGGGCCCAAAACAAUACUUCAUGCAUCUUAUCAUCAAAAAACAACUAUAUACUAUGCAUCCCCCAAAGAUUUUCUUAUCCAGAUCAUGCACAAAAGAAACCGAAGGACACGCCCUUCUGCAAAUUCUGGGUUCAUGCAACUUCAGUUUGGUUCAAGCACAGCAAAAAUGCAGGAGGGAUAAAACAGGGAGCGCCAAAGCUACAGGUUCUUUCCUAGCUUCUGGUUUACCGAAACCUUUUGCAAAGAAAAAUCACCCUCCAAACACUGCAAACUUACUCCUUAUCACACAUUGGACCCAAAAAUGAAAAGAAAAAUUGCGGCAACAAAACCGACAACUUCAAGCUUACUGCAGCAAACAUUAUAUACAAAGCUCUGCCCAAGGAAAUCUAAACCCCAGCAAGAAGGAUUACCAAACAUUCUAAUGGCCAUCAAACCGAGAGUUCAAGUAAAGAAACAAAAAGACAGACUAAGAGGUCAUGCGAAGUCUGUAAAAUUUUGCAACUCUUCUAUGUCUACUCUAUUAGAUUCACAAAUCGCACAAACCCAUUUGGUGGGCUGUUCUAGGAAGAAAAAUAGCAAAGUAUGAUGAUAACCCCAGCCAAGUCAUAACCCAGGAAUGGUUCGGCAGUCACACACAGGAUAGAGUCCAAUCUUUACAAAGAAAUGCUUUAAACCAGUAGGAAUAAGGACUGUGAAUACCUGGAAAUGCCUGCGAGGUUUGACCACAUAAGAUACUCCUUAAAAUGUUGGCUGGUUCGUGAGGUGAAGCGAAGGAAAUUUCGUCACAGUGGUGGUGUAGCAGGGACUUCGUGACUUGGGGCUUCAGUGGUGGAGUCAGCGGCAGUAAUAUCUGGGCUCACCGAGGAAACAACACCGGAUUUCGUCUUCCUCCUUUGCUCUUCUGCCUUCUCCUUCGCUUUCUUCUUUUUCCUCCCAGAACAGAAACCAGCCGCUCCUUCUUCUAACUCCCUCGGUCUCUCUCUUUCUUACUCCCUUGUUUUUCUCUACUCUCCUCUCUGGUUUCUUUUCAGCCGUCACUAAGUGCUCUCCUCUCGGUCUCACCCAGCCGACCUUCAGAACCCCUUCCUCUCUUUUUUUUCAGAUCUUCCAGCCGUCCCUCAGUGCUCCUCUCUCGGUCUCACUCAGCCGUCAUUCCGAACCUCUCCCAUUUCUGAACCCUUAGCUUUGCUUUUAUAUCCCAUCCAAACCCCUUAAACCUCAUCUCAAUGGCUCUAAACAACCUCAGCUCUCUCCCUUAUUGUUAGCCAUUGAUUAUGGCUUUUAAUGGGAGCACUUAGAUGGAUCUCGCUGGCCUGUAUUUAUCUCAUCUAACGGAGCCAGAAAAAAAUAGUGACGAAAAUAGAAGAAAGGCAAGAAAACGCAGAAGCUGUCUUUUUUUCUCUUUUUUUAUUUAUAUAUAUAUAUAUAUUUUAAUCACUUAAUUAAAUAACACUAAUACAAAAUAACAAUUUAAACAAAACUUAAAUAAAAUGUACAAAAACUAGUAACAAAAGAUAAAACAAAAAACUAAGAUUUUUCUUGUGCUUGAUUAAUGAUUUUUCCCUUUUUUUCGAUUAAUAAACAAUAAAAAGAAAUGAAACUUAUUUUCAUGAAUAAUUUUCUCUUUUACCAAAUUUUAUGCUAAAAAGUCUUGCAAUAAAAAUAAACAGCUAAAAGGGCGAAAAUAAAUGCAAAAUAAAAACUAAAAUAAUAGAUAAUAGAUAAUGAUAAUCUAAAAAUACUGAAAUGCUAUACAAAUGUUAAAAGUUUAAGAACUAAAAUUAUGGAAUUAAAAUAAUAGGUAAAAAUUAUUACUAAAAAAUAAAAAUAAAAUUAGGAUAAAAAAUAUUUAAAAUUUGGUGUCUACAACACUUCUAUUGGUCACGCAUGAGGUGGGAUGUGGAGCGAGUGGUGACAUGCUGCAUCACCUGUCACCGUGCCAAGUCCAAGCUCCAACCCUUUGGGUUGUACACACAUCUACCUAUCCCUUCUGAACCAUGGGUUGACAUUUCAAUGGAUUUUGUGCUUGGUCUACCUAGGAGUAAAGGGGGUCAUGAUAGCAUUUUUGUCAUUGUUGAUCGAUUUUCUAAAAUGGCCCAUUUCAUUCCUUGUCAUAAGACGGACGAUGCUACUCACAUAGCUGAUCUCUUCUUUAAGGAAGUUGUCUGUUUGCAUGGUGUACCUCGGACUAUUGUGUCCGAUAGAGAUGUUAAGUUUCUCUCUUACUUCUGGAAGGCUCUGUGGGGGAAAUUGGGGACUAAGUUGCUAUUUUCUACAUCCAGUCACCCCCAGACCGAUGGCCAAACUGAGGUCGUUAACCGCACAUUGUCUACAUUACUUAGGGCCAUCAUUAAAAAGAAUCUCAAAACUUGGGAGGAGUGUUUACCCCAUGUUGAGUUCGCUUAUAACCGUACAGUUCAUAGUGCCACCCAGUUUUCACCAUUUGAAAUUGUUUACGAUUUUAACCCUUUGACUCCCUUGGAUUUGAUGCCUUUGCCUUUGUCUGAGCGUACUAAUCUUGAUGGCAAGAAGAAGGCCGAGUUUGUCCAGGCUUUACACCAGCAGGUGAGGGCCAACAUUGAGGCUCGCACCCAACAGUACCUCAAGCAUGCCAAUAAGGGCCGGCGUCGCGUGAUGUUUGAACCAGGUGAUUGGGUCUGGUUACACUUGCGCAAGGAGCGCUUCCCGGUCCAGCGUCGCAACAAGUUGCUACCUCGUGGUGAUGGACCAUUCCAGGUUGUGGGGCGCAUCAAUGACAACGCCUACAAGCUCGAUCUCCCAGGUGAGUAUAAUGUCUCGGACAUUUUUAAUGUUGCUGACCAAAGUCCCUAUCUUGCAGACGAUGCGAUCGAUUUAAGGACAAAUCUUUCGCAAGAGGAGGGGAGUGAUGAGGCUGUCGAGAGUGCUAUCCAAGUGGAGCAAGUAAAGGUGCCAUUGGGGCCCAUGACACGAGCUCGUGCAAAGAGGCUAAAUGAGACACUCCAAACACUAGUUCGUGCGAUCCGAGAGUCAAGUGGGAAGCCAAAGGCCAUUGAGGGUCUCAACGAAACUAGAGAUAUUACCUUACUUUCGGCCAUCCAUGAGGAUUAGUGUGUCCAGUUUGGCCAAGGGCCCCCGGCCCAUUAGUAGCUUUAGUAAAGUGUAAUAAAGAGGUCCAACAAGCUUGUGGUUGGGCCUUAGUCGUUGUUAGUCCUUGGGUCUUAGAUCCAAUAGCACUUUUAGUCCCUACGUUGGGCUAGUGGCGGCCCAACGGGAAGCCCAAGGGCUGGCCGAAUUUCCUUUGUAUUUUUCAAACUUUAUUAGGGUUUAGUCAAGGCUAUUUAUAGCCUUAAGUCGUUGUGUUACAGGCAGUUUUUUGAUGAUUAAUAAAAUUACAUUGAGAGUUCUCUCAAGCUUCAUUGAAGCACCUUGAAUAUUUUAGAUUUGUAUCUUAGGUAUUCAAUUGACUAAUCAAUCGAGGACCACGCUAGAUUGUGGCGUCUUCUACAAAUACCGAGGUUCGUUGACCACGUGAUCAACGGGUUUAGGUGAUCCGCUGCGUUCGUCGUCUUCAACGUGAGUCUCUACCUUCUAGAUCCAAGCCUUUCUGUAUGGGUUGCAUCACACGGUUGGUGCCGUUCGUAUCAGAGGAGAAAAUGAGCAUCCGAAAACAUUAAAAACACAAAUUUUUGUGUAUUGGAUGUUUGAACGAUAGUUAAGCAUCUGUGGGAGGACCCGAAAAUUUGUUUCCUAUGUUUUUGUUGGUUUAACUUACUUGUCUUGAAUUUAUGAUUGAUUUGAUGGUUGAGUCAUGAUUUUUAUCUUAUUGCCUUAUUUAACCUGGUGCAUGUUUAACUUGGUGCAUGUUAAGUUUUAUAGUGCAUUAUGCUAUUGUGACUAAUAGUGAGUUGUGUGCAAUAAAUUGGGUGGACAAGAGGGAGUUUUGUGCAAAGGGUUAUUGUGCUACAAGGUGUCAAAAGAUAAUUAGAGAAUUUUAGUAAUUUAAAGACAACUAUAUAAGAUUACAUCUUGUGUUGCCACAUUCAAGCAUCCAUGAAACCUUGAUCAAGACCAAGUUUGAUUCUUAUUCAACGCAAGCUUCCAUUUCAUUCACAUUUCUUCUUCUUUUGGGUAGCCUUGGAAUUUUGAGGAGAAAAAGAGGGAGAAAAACACCAAAUUUCUAGCCUUGAUUUCUUGUCUAAUUAGUAAGAAAACAAGAGAGGAAAUCCUAAUCCACUCCGUAAAUCCUUGAGUCAAGUUUAGAGGGAAGCUCUUGGAGGAGUUCUUGGAGGAGGAAGCUUUGCAACUUUCUUGAUUUGCUUUCCAUCCUAGGUUUUGGAGGUAAAGAGGUAAAACUUGCUUGGAAACCUAUCUUUCUUCCCUUAUCUUUGAGUUUAUUUGAGGUAUGAUAUUAUAGAAGCUAAAGGAAGGAUCUUUAUGGAAGAUGCCAUGUUUUUUUCAAGUUAUAUUGUAAAUUUCCAACUUUGGUGCCUAAAGUAUAUAGCCUAGUUUAGAAUUUCUAUAUGUAAAAUUUUGAUGGAUUCCUUUUCCAAGAAUAUGGAUCAUACACCUCAUGACAUAUUAGUUUUGAUUGAUAGUGUAUCUGCCAUGGAAAUAAGUUGAAAGGUGGAGGUUUAGAUGAAAGGAAUUGGGGGCAAGUUGCUGAAAAUUUUUCCUUGUUGGUCGAAUGAGAGAGGGAAGGAAUUCUGCUCCAUUUCUAGUUUUGUUUUGUGAGAAUCAAGAGGUAAAUAUGGCUGUAAAACCUCCCUUCUUCCAUUACAUUUGAGAUGUGUAACAGCCCCACCUCCCCCUAAGGCGAACCAAAGGGUUCGGUGGACCGCCUGCCCAGCUCUCGCCGGGACUCAGUCAAGAAAAGACAAUAAAACCCACAAAACAAUCGAAAUACCAAACUUAAACGUAAACUUAUAUACAUAUCCAUCCCAAAAGCAAUACAACUUAUGUACAAAGGUUCUCCAUUCUCCAUACAACCAGCCCACCAAACAUUGGGGCGAGAACCAUAACAAAAGAAUCAAAAGUACUAGAACGGCUAGUCUAUUCGUAGCUUCCGACCUUGCACGUCUUCCCCUGCUAAGGAAAACAAAAAAAACUAAAGGAAUGAGCUGGAAAGCUCAGUGAGGUUCCGCACACAUGGGUAACAAGAGAAUCAAUGCAUUCAAUACCUAUAAACAACAAUUCAAGUUACACGUACAAAUAAAGCGAUAAACAUAUUCAUAAAAAGGAUACGGGCUCACAAGGAGCCAUUCGUUCAUUCGUUCGUUCAUUCAUUCUCCUUUCGUUCCGCUACCUUCAAUCAUUUUACAAAUGCAUUUUGUAUAAGUAAAACCCCUCAUUCAUUCAUUCGUUCAUUCAUUUCAUUCACCCCGUCCCUGGCUUUUGGCCAGGCUCCACCAACCUACAAGGUAAUACUCGAGUAUACCGAAACGUUCACCCAAGUCCCUAAUCGCCCGACCGAGUCCGCUUCUGGCUCGAGACGACCGGUAACAAGGGGCAAUGGCCAGUUCAGCCCAAAGGCUUACAUUCAUGCACAAAUAACAUUUCAAUCGUUCAAUCAUUGAAACUUUCACAAUCAUUUAGGCCGAGUGCGAUAAAGUACACACUCGCCUCGAAAACUCGUUUUAGCAAUCAUUAAAAACAUUUAACAUGUUAUCAAUCAUUCAUACAAGCCAUAAAAUCAUGAAACAUAACAAAUAAGGAACACUCACCGAAUUACGCAAAAUAACGUGCAAAAUAUUCUUCCAGAUAUUACCCUCGGUCACCGAGAAAACCUAAGAUUUAAUGAGAAAGAAUAUUACAAGUCAUAUAGCAAAACAAGUAAGUGCAAUCAAGGAACUCGGCUAAUUACGAGUAAAGCGAGUAAAACGGACAAAGGUGACUUUAAAGUGAAAAGAGUCCAUUAGGGCCGGUGGAUGAAAUAACUAGGGUUGAUAAAUUAAGUACAAAACUAACACCAAAAAGGUUAUUAAGUUUCCGACGGAAAAUACCUAACUAGAACAAUUUAUAACCCAACUUGAUAGACUAAGAAAUAUCGUUUUCGAAUUGGUUCACGUGGUUCAAGAUCAACUCAUUUUCAAAGAAAUAUUAUAGGCUAAACGUCAUCACUACAAAGCAUGCGAAAGGAAGACAAAAUACUUUAACUUCCACACUUAAAGCCUCGCUUAAAAAUAAUUCACUUGUAUUCAUAGGAAAGGCAUAAAGAACAUUUGGGGUUUCAAACGGAAAAGAUAUCAUGUAUGGUCACAUUAGUUGUCUUGCGGAAAUAUACAAAUUUAACUAGAACUUAGCCCUCGAAUCCUUAUUUGAAAGACCCAAUGAAAUUCUCAAGGAAAUACACCCAAUUUGAUACAAAAUACAUUUCCAACACCACUUUAACUCAUUCAAUUUCCAAGAAAAUAAAUGGACGGCAUAACAACAAACCAGAAAAUGUAAAUAUAGCAAACCAGAAAAUCAGGAAAUGUAACUAUAUUAGCCCUAAUAACAAAACAGUUUUGGCCUCCUUAUGCGGUAAUGGCACAAAAUGCGCUACGCUUAUCGGAUGAGGGUGUAAGACCCACCAUCUCGAAGCUAAAAGACAGGGCUACAACAAUGUAGAAGGCCACUCAGUCCAAAUCCUAGCACAACUAGUUCAAAAAUGCAGAAUACCAAACCAGAACCGUAAUUGCAGGUUUACAAAUCACACUAUGCUGUAAUUAGUCCAACUCAGUCUAUACAGGUCCAAAUGCAGUGAUUCCAAAGGCAUGCGGUAGCUAAGACAUCAAGCUACAUUUCAUCAGAAGACACCAACAUCCAAAUCCAAAGCAAUUCCAGUCAAAACAGAAGAUUACAAUCGCAGUUCGCACAUUCUGAUCACCCAGAACAGCAACAGUAAAAUCGACAUAUCUCACUUUACACUACUCCAAAUGACCUGAAAUUUUACAGGCACCUCAAAAACAUCAAUACCUACAACUUUCAUGUUUUAAGAAAAGGCCAAUUCGGCCUCUAACCAUAUGAUCCAAAACCGGACAGAAAAGGGGUUAUGAAACCCUAACUUUUCACAUUUCAAUCCAAACCCAAAAUUGGUUGCCAUUACCAAUCAUACACACUUACUAGAGUCAUUCUAGGCCAUUUCCAAUCAUCAAACAAGGCCACAACAACAUGAUCAUAUUAAACCAGAAAAAUCACCAAUAAAUUGUAAACUUCACCAUUUCAUCCAAAAACAAGAAUUAAAUCACAAAAUUCAACACUUUAGCUUCACUAAGCACAACUCAAGCUUCAUUAAGUGUAGGGGAAAGUUCAUAUACCACUCACCUAGUAAACAAGAGAGGGAGAGUUGUAGGACACCUUAGCUUUUCCAAAAAACUUCACCAAAUCACUCACUAGCACCAAAUGGAGGGAUUUUAUGGAGUAGAAACUAGAUCAAGCAAGUGUUUUGGAGGAUUUGAGCUAGAUAAUUGCCAAACUUUGAAGAGGUUUUUCUUCCUUCCUUGCUAGAGAGAGAAUCGGCCAAGAGGUUGAAGACAAGAAUGAAUUUUGUGUGAUUUUUGAGAUAUUUAAGCAAUUGGUCAAAAGUCAAGAAAAUGAAUAGUAAGUCAUAAGCUAUUUCCAAUACAAUGGUGACACUUGUCACCUCCAUUAAAUGCAUUUCUAUCCUUUUGUUUCCUCUCACAUCAAUCACAUCUCAUUCUCUACUUAUCUCUUAACACCUGAUAAAUUUCAACCAGUAUCCAACACUUAACCUAAUUGGCCGAAUUUUUCCGAACUUUCGCACUAGUGGGGCCCACGUCCAUUAUAUAUCCGUAAUUUUUCAAAAACUACCCAAUGCUAGUAAAAUCAUCUAAAAACUAGAAUUACUCAUAAGAUCCACCAAGAAAAUUUUUCUAAACCAGAAAAUGCAGAAAUCAUGCAUUGAAAGGGGAAAAACCCUAAGAAAAUAUUAGGGGAAAUACGGGUUCUCACACUCUCCCCCCCUUAGGAAAUUUCAUCCUCGAAAUUUUUCUCACCUUCAUUAGCACCAGGCGAGUCCGGAACUGGUCGGUUGUCUAACGCAUAUACUUUGGCCGGUACACUUGUUCGGUUCCCUCUUUCUUUUACCGGUUUCGAUUUAGUUCCAUCCAGUGACUGAGUACUAUCCUCACGUGGAUGUCUUCUCGGACAAUUGCUCACUUGAUGCUCACUGCUUCCACAGAUCAAACAUUUCCGCCCUUUCCGCCAACAAGCAUCCUCGGUGUGAUUUGCCUUUCCACAGUAACCGCAAAUCAAGUGAGAGGUCAUCUUUUGCCUAUCUUGAGAAAUCUCCUUAGAUCCGAUUUGACUUCCUUUAGUAGACCUCUCAUCUAUCGCCCCUAUUGUCCAUGGCGGAUAGGAUAACUGGCUCAUCUUUUGCACUUUAGAAGGCGUCAUCGUUUCACUAAACUCUUCCAAUCCACUGCCCGAUGCACCCCUUUUUCGAGUUUGGGAGGCCUUUACUUGUGCCUUGGCACUCUCAAUUCGUUGAGCCUUCUCAAGGGCCUCCGUAAAAGUAUUCACUUGCGCUGCUGCCAAUGCCUCUUGGAUGUCCAAAUUCAGUCCCUGUAUAAACCGUCUUACUCUUCGUCGUUCAGUGGCUACCAGUUCAGAAGCAAACUUGGAUAACCUAGUAAAUUUUGUCUCAUAUUCGGCCACACUUAAUGUUCCCUGGCGUAGCCCAAUAAACUCCUCCUCCCUCCUUUCUUGGACUAAAGGUGGAAGAUACUUCUCAUUAAAUUCUCUGGUAAAGUUCGCCCAGGUCCAAAUAGUCUGCUCUCUUUCCCAUUUUGUUCGAAUUACAUUCCACCAUGCUCGGGCCGGUCCCUCAAAUUGAAAUACUGCAAAGUUCACUUGCCUUUGUUCGGUGUAGUUUAAGGCUGUGAAUAUAUUCACCAUGGCCUCUACCCAUUGCUCAGCAAUAUCCGGAUCAGGCCCUCCAAGGAAUUUCGGAGGAUUAAACUUCUGAAACCUCUCUAGAGCCCGAUCCUCGCCUAUUUCAGGGUUCUGGGUUUGAUUUACAGGCAUUUGGCCUUGUUGGUCCACCAACCUUGUCAAAAUGUUUGCCAUUUGUUGAAUUGCCAUCGCCAUUUGGUCCCCGGCCUCACCUCUAUGUUCUUGUUCUUGUUCGGCUGACGUUUUCCUUUCCGCUCUUGGUUCUGGGGUCCGUUUAGUUCCAUGGCCUCGACCACGUCCCUGACUACGUCUCCCGUCCAUAUUUUUUUCCUUCCCUCUUUUUUUUUUUUUUCCAAAAGGAAUUUAAUAAAUAAAGGCGGUAAGAUGACUAAAGCAUAAAAAAUCGAGGUACCAAGUACACACAAGUAACAUAUAUACCUAUAACACCCCACAUAUCGAGUGAAUAGAGAAUCAAUUUCACAAGUACAUAUCAAGUCAGGAAAAAUAUUCAUGUGCACAAUUACAGCAAUGGACGUCAUAUAAUAAGAAUACACGGGCGAAUCAAACGAGGAGGUGAUGUGUCGUCCCAGUCUCAGCUAAGGUAACCCCGUCCGGUCCCUCACGUCAUUUUCUAAUCAAUCCAGAUAUCCGCCGACCUCUUAUAUUCAUUCUAGUCGGACCAAGCCUGUUCAUGGUCCCAAAAUAUAAAACUCAUAUACUUAACAUCAUCUCCACUCUGGAGUACUCGAGUACGAGAAUCCGAGAUAAGAUAAUUCACCUCUCGAGCUGGCCAGUCCCAAGAGUAAACCAUCUACAAUCGAAAUUCCUACCAGACGUACCUAUCUAUGGUCCUCAGAUACCAUAAGAGAAUUUAAAGCCUAUAACAUUCACCAUUCAUAGCUUAUGCUCAAACGAGCACUUAGUCCAUUAUACCUAUUCAACACUCAGUCCAGGCUCACUCCGCGCAGAGACCACGCGAAGCAGGCUCUGAUACCAACUGUAACAGCCCCACCUCCCCCUAAGGUGAACCAAAGGGUUCGGCGGACCACCUGCCCAGCUCUCGCCGGGACUCAGUCAAGAAAAGACAAUAAAACCCACAAAACAAUCGAAAUACCAAACUUAAACGUAAACUUAUAUACAUAUCCAUCCCAAAAGCAAUACAACUUAUGUACAAAGGUUCUCCAUUCUCCAUACAACCAGCCCACCAAACAUUGGGGCGAGAACCAUAACAAAAGAAUCAAAAGUACUAGAACGGCUAGUCUAUUCGUAGCUUCCGACCUUGCACGUCUUCCCCUGCUAAGGAAAACAAAAAAACUAAAGGAAUGAGCUGGAAAGCUCAGUGAGGUUCCGCACACAUGGGUAACAAGAGAAUCAAUGCAUUCAAUACCUAUAAACAACAAUUCAAGUUACACGUACAAAUAAAGCGAUAAACAUAUUCAUGAAAAGGAUAGGGCUCACAAGGAGCCAUUCGUUCAUUCGUUCGUUCAUUCAUUCUCCUUUCGUUCCCCUACCUUCAAUCAUUUUACAAAUGCAUUUUGUAUAAGUAAAACCCCUCAUUCAUUCAUUCGUUCAUUCAUUUCAUUCACCCCGUCCCUGGCUUUUGGCCAGGCUCCACCAACCUACAAGAUAAUACUCAAGUAUACCGAAACGUUCACCCAAGUCCCUAAUCGCCCGACCGAGUCCGCUUCUGGCUCGAGACGACCGGUAACAAGGGGCAAUGGCCAGUUCAGCCCAAAGGCUUACAUUCAUGCACAAAUAACAUUUCAAUCGUUCAAUCAUUGAAACUUUCACAAUCAUUUAGGCCGAGUGCGAUAAAGUACACACUCACCUCGAAAACUCGUUUUAGCAAUCAUUAAAAACAUUUAACAUGUUAUCAAUCAUUCAUACAAGCCAUAAAAUCAUGAAACAUAACAAACAAGGAACACUCACCGAAUUACGCAAAAUAACGUGCAAAAUAUUCUUCCAGAUAUUACCCUCAGUCACCGAGAAAACCUAAGAUUUAAUGAGAAAGAAUAUUACAAGUCAUUUAGCAAAACAAGUAAGUGCAAUCAAGGAACUCGGCUAAUUACGAGUAAAGCGAGUAAAACGGACAAAGGUGACUUUAAAGUGAAAAGAGUCCAUUAGGGCCGGUGGAUGAAAUAACUAGGGUUGAUAAAUUAAGUACAAAACUAACUCCAAAAAGGUUAUUAAGUUUCCGACGGAAAAUACCUAACUAGAACAAUUUAUAACCCAACUUGAUAGACUAAGAAAUAUCCUUUUCGAAUUGGUUCACGUGGUUCAAGAUCAACUCAUUUUCAAAGAAAUAUUAUAGGCUAAACGUCAUCACUACAAAGCAUGCGAAAGGAAGACAAAAUACGUUAACUUCCACACUUAAAGCCUCGCUUAAAAAUAAUUCACUUGUAUUCAUAGGAAAGGCAUAAAGAACAUUUGGGGUUUCAAACGGAAAAGAUAUCAUGUAUGGUCACAUUAGUUGUCUUGCGGAAAUAUACAAAUUUAACUAGAACUUAGCCCUCGAAUCCUUAUUUGAAAGACCCAAUGAAAUUCUCAAGGAAAUACACCCAAUUUGAUACAAAAUACAUUUCCAACACCACUUUAACUCAUUCAAUUUCCAAGAAAAUAAAUGGACGGCAUAACAACAAACCAGAAAAUGUAACUAUAGCAAACCAGAAAAUCAGGAAAUGUAACUAUAUUAGCCCUAAUAACAAAACAGUUUUGGCCUCCUUAUGCGGUAAUGGCACAAAAUGCGUUACGCUUAUCGGAUAAGGGUGUAAGACCCACCAUAUCGAAGCUAAAAGACAGGGCUACAACAACGUAGAAGGCCACUCAGUCCAAAUCCUAGCACAACUAGUUCAAAAAUGCAGAAUACCAAACCAGAACCGUAAUUGCAGGUUUACAAAUCACACUAUGCUGUAAUUAGUCCAACUCAGUCUAUACAGGUCCAAAUGCAGUGAUUCCAAAGGCAUGCGGUAGCUAAGACAUCAAGCUACAUUUCAUCAAAAGACACCAACAUCCAAAUCCAAAGCAAUUCCAGUCAAAACAGACGAUUACAAUCGCAAUUCGCACAUUCUGAUCACCCAGAACAGCAACAGUAAAAUCGACAUAUCUCACUCUACACUACUCCAAAUGACCUAAAAUUUUACAGGCACCUCAAACACAUUAAUACCUAAAACUUUCAUGUUUUAAGAAAAGGCCAAUUCGGCCUCUAACCAUAUGAUCCAAAACCGGACAGAAAAGGGGUUAUGAAACCCUAACUUUUCACAUUUCAAUCCAAACCCAAAAUUGGUUGCCAUUACCAAUCAUACACACUUACUAGAGUCAUUCUAGGCCAUUUCCAAUCAUCAAACAAGGCCACAACAACAUGAUCAUAUUAAACCAGAAAAAUCACCAAUAAAUUGUAAACUUCACCAUUUCAUCCAAAAACAAGAAUUAAAUCACAAAAUUCAACACUUUAGCUUCACUAAGCACAACUCAAGCUUCAUUAAGUGUAGGGGAAAGUUCAUAUACCACUCACCUAGUAAACAAGAGAGGGAGAGUUGUAGGACACCUUAGCUUUUCCAAAAAACUUCACCAAAUCACUCACUAGCACCAAAUGGAGGGAUUUUAUGGAGUAGAAACUAGAUCAAGCAAGUGUUUUGGAGGAUUUGAGCUAGAUAAUUGCCAAACUUUGAAGAGGUUUUUCCUCCUUCUUUGCUAGAGAGAGAAUCGGCCAAGAGGUUGAAGACAAGAAUGAAUUUUGUGUGAUUUUUGAGAUAUUUAAGCAAUUGGUCAAAAGUCAAGAAAAUGAAUAGUAAGUCAUAAGCUAUUUCCAAUACAAUGGUGACACUUGUCACCUCCAUUAAAUGCAUUUCUAUCCUUUUGUUUCCUCUCACAUCAAUCACAUCUCAUUCUCUACUUAUCUCUUAACACCCGAUAAAUUUCAACCAGUAUCCAACACUUAACCUAAUUGGCCGAAUUUUUCCGAACUUUCGCACUAGUGGGGCCCACGUCUAUUAUAUAUCCGUAAUUUUUCAAAAACUACCCAAUGCUAGUAAAAUCAUCUAAAAACUAGAAUUACUCAUAAGAUCCACCAAGAAAAUUUUCCUAAGCCAGAAAAUGCAGAAAUCAUGCCUUGAAAGGGGAAAAACCCUAAGAAAAUAUUAGGGGAAAUACGGGUUCUCACAAGAUGAUAUAAGCACGGGGUCUAUCAAACUGAGUUAGACGCGGGCACGUCUUACAUGCAUGAAGUCUUCUAGUUCGCAUGGUUCAAAGUCAAGAAAUUGUCCCAAAACAUAUUGAGGGACUUGAAAAUAAAGAUUGGAAGCGUGCUCAUCUCAUUGAAGUGGUGAAGGAGUCACAUUUAAUGCAGAAUUUAUGUUGAUGUUUAAGUUUUGAGUCAUUAUGUUAUUUUUCAAUAUUUUGGUGUUAAUUUAGUCAUUAAUUAUUAGUGAAAUAAUUAGCCAAGUUAAGCCUCAAGUUGGGCAGAAAUAAGGUAAUCUUUUCAUGUUAGGUUUUGUGUUUUGAUAGUCUUUCCAAAGUCGAAUUAGGAAACGUGUAAUAUUUUCAAAUUAAAUUAGUUUUAGUAGUUUAGGUUUUAGCUAUAAAUAGGUUUCUUCUAUUCUAUUGUACAAAAAACUUUUUGAGAGAUGAAUUAAUAAAAGUGAGUUAUCUUCUUUUAUGGAGUUUCUUGAUGGAACGUGAGUUUCUUCUUGAACUGUAUCAAGUAUUUAGCUUGGAUACUUGUGAUGUUCAAGACAAGAUGAUUACUUCAUCUUGUUCUUUCAAACCAAUAACAAAUCCACUAGGCUUCUAGAGAUAGGUUCUCUUUAGGUCUAGCUAGAUAGUUAUUGUUCCAUAACCUGGUCAAAAUAGAUCCUUCCAUUGCCUGAUCAACUUGGUUUUUCAAGACAAGUUCUUGUUGGGUCGAGUUCGUAUCAGUUGGUAUCAGAGUUUCGGUUCUCGAUUCAGGUUAAUAUCCUUUUUCUUUUUUUUGUUUUUCUACCAAAACCCUAGCCGCCUUUUGAUUUAAAAGAAAAAAUUUUUUAUUCUUAUUUUCUUAAUUUCAUCGCUUGAGUCUAAUAUACCCCUUUGAUUGAUCGAGGUUGGAAUUUCUUGGUGUGAUUACGUUCUUGGAAACAGGUUUUUCAAGGGUUUAACUCCCAUUAAAUUUCUUUCAAGUGAAGUUGUAACCCUGUGUCGAGUCGUAAAAUAAAAAAAAAUUGGUAUUGUUCAUGUACUGUAGCGAUACUAUUUAUCAAUACUGUAGUGUUACUGUUCAUCCGAAUUUUAAAAAAAAAUUAGAUUGUAUUUUAGUGUUUGUUUCUUCAUUUUUAGUAUCCAUCCAUGGUUAAGUGGUAGAAGAGUCGUUAGGGUUUCCAAUUCCUAGUCUACUUAGGAUUAGUAAGUCUGUGACUUUCCUUUUCCCGUUGCGCGCAACUUCUGUUGAGCGCAAGUUUUUCCGUUGUGCGCAACUUUCCUUUCAUUUCAUAUCUUUUAUUGUCACUUACUUAUCUUGAAUUUUUGAUUGAUUGAUUUAAUGGUUGAGUCCUGAUUUUUAUCCUAUUGCUUCAUUCAACUUAUUGCAUGUUGAUUUUCAUAGUGCAUUAUGCUAGUGUGACCAACUAAUGAAGUGUGUGCUAUAUAAUUGGUGGACAAUAGAGAGUUUUGUGCAAAAAGAAUUAUGUGAGAAGAGGUGUUAAGUUUCAUAGUGCAUUAUGCUAGUGUGACCAACUAGUGAGGCGUGUUCUAUAUAAUGGUGGAUAAGAGAGAGUUUUGGUGAUUUAGAGACAAUUAGAUAGGUAUUGCUUCUUGUGUUGCCACUUGUCAAUCAUCUAUGAAAAGCUUGACCAAGACCAAGACUUAUUCUUAUCAUUCAAGCUUCCAUUUCACCACCAUUUUUUCUUCUUUUUCCCUUAGCAUGGCUGAAAUUUUGAGGGAGAAAAGGGAGAGAAAACUCAAUUCCUAGCCUUGAUUUCUUGUCUAAUUAGUGAGCAAACAAGAGAGAAAACCUAAUCUACUCCAUCAAUCCUUGAGUCAAGCUUGGAAGGAAGCCCCUGGUAGAGUUCUUGGAGGAAGGAAAUAUUUGCAACCUUCUUGAUUUGCUUUCCAUACUACGGUUUGGAGCUAAGGGGGUAAAAUUGGCUAGGAAACCUAUCUUUCUUCCCUUAUCUUUGAGUUUAAUUGAUGUAUGAUGUUAUAGAAGCUAAAGGAAGGACUUUUAUGGAGGAUUUUAUGUCUUCUCAAGUUAUAUUGUAAAUUUUCAGUUUUGGUGCAUAAAGUAUAUAGCCUAGAUUAGAGUUUGUAUAUGUGAAAUUUUGAUGGAUUUCUUGCCAAGAGUAGGUACCAUACACCUCAUAACAUGUUAGCUUUGAUCGAUAGUGUAUUUGCCAUGGAAAUAGGGUUGAAAGUUGGAGGUUUAAAUAGAGAAACUUGGGGACAAGUUGUUGCAAAUUCUUCUUUAGUUGGCCAAGAGAGAGGGAGAGUUGAGUUGUAAGUUUAGGGUGAUUUUGACAUACUUUUUCUCAAAAUACUUGAUAAUACUUUGAUCUUCACAUGCAUGUUGGUUUUGAAUCAAAACAAAGAAGUUUAAGAAAAGGAAAAUGAUUUUUGCCCCAAAACAUUUUAUAAUUGGAAAUUUCACCUUUGAACCCCCAAGACUCUUGUUACGUUUUCUUCAAAAUUCUUGUCUAUAAUCAACAUAUUUUUUCUCCAUAUUAUGCUCGAGGCAUUGAGCUAUGAUAUGCGUGAUUUUCCUCUUGAUUUGAACAAGAAAACUUUGUGUAUGUGUGGUGUCUUAGUGGACGGUUGAUGGACUCUUGCUACACUAUGUAUGCUCGUAGGAUUUGGGAGUGGCCAGGAGGCAGAACCGAUGCUUGAAAUGGAUAGAUCUUGAUAAGUUGGUGAGUGUUCCAAAUGCAUGGUAGAACUUGCUACUUGGUUGAAGUGUUCUCUUGAUGAGAUUGAUAAAUGCUUGAAAUGAGAUGGUUGAUUAAUUGAAUGCUAUUGAAAUGCUGAGCUUUUGAAUUGCUUUUGGCUGGGCGAGUGUGUAUUUUAUCGCACUUGCCCUGACUUGACUAAAGUACUGUGCACUAUUUACAAGUGAAAUGACAUUCAUGUGCAUGACUUGGGAUAUGAUAUCCUAUCGAAUAUACUGAGUGCUUGGGAUCCCAAACCCCAUUGGCUAGUUAGUCGAAUCAAGUUAGCAAGGGCUUGGUCGAGUAGAUUGACAAACCAUGGGUAGUUUUCACUAUUUACCGCAUUGGUUUUGGUAUACUCGAGUAUUACCCCUCCUAUUGUUUUAUAUUUGGAGUGUAGGCCCGGUAAGGGGUGAUCGGUGGAUGGAGACUAGAGUGAAGUGGUGAUUUACUGGAUAUUGUUACUGUAUUCCAUGGUUGAUGAAGUGUCGACGGAUCCAAGAUGAGCAGUCACUGAAUUGGUUCGUGCAAGCGACAUUGUCUCCUUAUACUUGAAAGUGCUAGUUGUUUAUUUGCAAUGCUAAUGACUUAUCUUGUUGGUGUACAUUCUUCACUUUGGGAUUGUGAUACGUGUGAUUUGCCAUCUUGCCACUUUGACUGCAUGUUUUCUUGGAACCUUAUUGGGGAAAAGCUUACCCCAUUAGCUUGUUUUCCUUACAGGGAUUGAGAAUGUGGGAGUGGGAGUCGGAGAAGGUAAAGCUUUUGUCUAAGUUUGGUUAAAUGUCUUAGUGAGCACUUCUUAGCUCUUUAUCAGGAUUUUGGUUUUGUUUUGUAAGCUUGAAUCUCUUGAUGUAUUUAGAGUUUGAAUGGAUAGUUGAUGCUAAUGUGUAUAUAUUGAAAUUUGGAAAUUGCUCUUGUUAUUGAGGUUAUUGUUACUGCUUUUGAGGUACGUGAGUGAGUCCUGGCAAGAGCCAAGCAGGCAACCCGCCAAACCCUAGGGUACACUCUAGGGGGAGGUGGGGUCCUUACAGAGGUUGCCUCACAUUUCAGGUUACAUUUCAACUUUUGAGAGUUGAAACCGAACUUUGAACAAGUUCCAUGAGGCAUGGUCUAUGUUUCCGUAGACAUGGUCUAUGUUUCCAACUUUUCUUCAUGUUUUACAUUAAUUUCAUGUCGAAAUCAUUUCAUCACUUCAACUUCAUUUGAUCGAAAACGAUCAUCCAAGUGCCAAAACCUAUAAAAAAAAACACCUUACAUUUUGCACAUUAACUCCCUCAAAUGUAUGUUUUGGUUAAAAUAAUAACUUGUACAAACAUUUGCUAAAAGGAGCCAAAUUUCAUCCUUUUAACCUAAAAUAUACCAAAAGUAAAGUAAUAAGCAUACUAAAAACAUACAAAAUAAACUCUUAUGAGUAGGCACAUGAAAGUAGUGAUACACUUGGAUGGAUUUGUUGCUCAUUUCCUUUAUCUCAAUGAACUAUCACCAGUAAUUUCACCAUAAAAAUAGGGAAACCUAGUGUUGGUAAUAAUCAAUUCAUUGAUGAAAGCAAGUCUUGAUUACCUUUGGAAAUGAUAUCCCUAACAAGACAAGAGUGAUUAGUGAGAAUGAAGCCUAAUAUUGAUUUAUUAGUGGAAUAUAGACCCUAGGAUGUGACAGCCCCACCUCCCCCCAAGGCGAACCAGAGGGUUCCGCGGGCCGCCUGCCCAGCUCUCGCUGGGACUCAGUCGUUCACUACAUUCCUCAAACAGAUUACAAGAUAAAACUCAAAUAUUACAUCAAAUUCUCCAAUAAAUAAUUACAUAUCAAAAGCGAAGCGUCCAUGCUUCCGCUGCGCCACUCUGAUCCAUGAUCCAACUAUUAUACAAGAGGAAGUCCAAAACAAUAAAAUCACAACAAGCCUUCCUUCGCCACGAGCCCUGUGGAGGGGAAUAAAAUAUUUUUGGGGUGAGCUAGAAGCUCAGCGAGUAACCAGUAAAAUCAGUAAUCAAAUCGGUUUAACAAUAGUUCAUUUCAAUGAUGUCAUAAAUGAAUGAUGUCAUAAAUCAAAUGAUAAGUCCAGAAACAAUUACAACUUUUACAAUACAUUAAAUAUGGAGUAUCAAUAAUUCAAGAAACAUUUACAAUGGAAAGCGAUAGUAACAUUCAUGAAAAGGAUAUGGCUCACAGGGAGCAAUUCAUUUCAUCAUUCAUUCGUUCUCCUGACAUUUCCCCUUAUUCCUCCAAUUGCUUGAAAAAUUGCAUUUUUAGAAAUAAAACCCUAAUUCUUUUGUUCAUUUCGUUCACCCCCUCCUGGAAAUUGGCCAGGCUCCACCAGACUUUAAGGUAAUACUCGAGUAUACCGAACGUUCACCCAAGUCCCUAAUCGCCCGACCGAGUCCGCUUCUGGCUCGAGACGACCGGUAACAAGGGGCAAUGGCCAGUUCAGCCCAAAAGGCUUACAUUCAUGCGCAACUAGCAUUUAAUCAUUAAUCAUUGAAAAUUUCACAUUUAUUUAGGUCGAGUACGAUAAAGUACACACUCGCCUAGAAAACUCGUUUUAACAAUCAUUGAAAGCACUUAACACAUUAUCAAUCAAUAAUAACAAGCCAAUAAGUCAAGGAAUACAGCAAACAAGGAACACUCAUGAUACGAAAUAUGGGCCGCUUAUGGGCCAUGUUUUGGGCUGCAAGAGAUUGAAUCUUUUAGUAAUAGUUAGUAGUUUAUUUUCUAGAUUUCUAUUUUAUUUGCUAGGAAUAAAUUCGGUCCAAGACCUCAUGUUGAGUUGGAUCCGAUUUAUAGAGUCUAGGCUCACUAUAACUUAAGUUGGUUAAUUAGCUUUUAUUGGGGUAUGUUGGGCCAGCUUAAAGCUUUCAUUGGAUCGAUUAUAAGCUGACCAUUAGAUAGUGGAUUUGAGUAGUGGAAUCGGGCCAAAGGCCUAGCCUAGACGAGUUAGGGUUUUCAAGUCACUUUAGGUUUUCAAGUUGUAAGGCUAUAUAUAGCCUAGGUUUUCAUUCAUAAGGAUAAUUCAGAUUUUAUAAAAUAUUCGUGAGUUUAUUCACUCUCUCUUGCCUCAAGAGAAUUUCCUUUGAAUACUUGAGAAUCAAUCUCAAGCUGUUCAUUGAACUUAUCAAUCAAGUAGUCUCCUUGAUUGUGGCGUUCUUCUAUCUUUACUUUUGGUUCACUAAAUUUGCUAGUCUUGGGUUAAGGAAUCUCCUUAGUUCGUGGCUCGUGAUUCUAGAAGGGUCAAAGUUCCGCAAAUCAUCCCAACUUGGUGUUCGUCUAGAUCCGUCCCACAUCAGUUGGUAUCCAGAGCUAGUCGACGACAUCAAGUAUAUCCCGUUGAGUUUGUUCGUAAGCUUUCUAGUCAAUUUUAUUUUGCAAUUCUGGUCGUGUCUUCCUUUGUGUCAAGUCCGGUCAUUAUUACAAAAAAAAAAAAAAAUACUGUAUCGUCCGCCUUUGUUACUGUCUUGUUGAGUCGACACUGUUUCUUUUGCGAAAAAAAAACUUUUGUUCAUAACUUGUGUUUCUUGUUUUUUGCCUGCCUUGUUAUAUAGUUCUUGAAGUUCGUUGCAUAUUUGAGUAAAUCAAACAAAAAAAAAAAAAAUUCUGCGACGCUAGGGUUUUCACUUGCAACUAGGGUUUUCCUUGGGCACAAGUUUCUUACCGAAUCUGUCCAAACUUUAGUUUAUUCCACCAAGUUGUUUUCAUUAAUUUCCUAAACUGAUUUUGUGGUUGAACUUGUUUGGGGUUGGAAUCUUGGAGAGGGACUACCAUAAUCUAGGGUUUCUUGAGUUUCUUGAAACUAAUCUUGAAGUCUUGAAACUUUGAUACAUGUCUUGAUAAUUAUUGGAGGAUUGAAGGAGAACAUUGGAUUGACAUUAAAUUCUGGAAUUCUACCCAAAAAAAACAGCCGAGUAAUUGUGUGUUCUUAGAGUCAAAAAAAAAAAAAACAAACAGAAAAAGGAAAAGAGAAAAGGCAUUCGGGUAGCAAACAACAAAGAAGGAAGCCGCACUUUUAUUUGCCAAAUUCUGUCUUGUUGCACUUGUUCCAACAAACCAGAAAAUUACAUCAAGAAAAGACUACUCAAAAGUUUUGACCAACCUCCUCUUGAAAAUCUUGCACACCUUGAGCCUUGAUCACUUGUAUCACCCGUUGAGUUUUUUUAGGAUCUUGACCAUCUUGAUUCUUGAAGAUUUGCACCUCCCUACGUAUAAACAGUUUCUUGUACGUCCUUGCAUCCAUACGGGGCUUUCUUGGCUUAGGAGUAAACCUCUUGGGAGUUUCUUGAGCAGGCUGCUUGGGGUAUUCUUGGGUGACGUUGCUUGUGUCAUCUUGUGAAGCCAUUGUUUAGCACCAAGCGUCAAAACUGUCCUUGUGUGGAGCAAAGAGGGGAGGGCCGAAUUGUUGUUCUUGAGGGAGAGUAAGGGACGAAAAUUUUGAGGGGAUUUAAGAAGAGGCAAUUCUGGAAAAUUUUGGGGUUAGGAAGCUACCAAAUCUGGAAAAAUUUUUGGGAAAUUCCAGCCGACUUUGAGGGGAAUUUAAAAAGACAAGAAAUCUGGAAUUUUUUUCGUGGAAGCUAUUCUGAUUUGAUAAGGUAACAAAUCUGGAAAUUUUCAGCGGUUAGGAAGCUACCAAAUUCUGUUUUGCAGCCGACUUUGGAAGGUUUAAAAGGAGCAGAAAUCUGGAAAUUUUUUUAGCUACCAAAUUCUGAUUUGUUAUAGCCGACUUUAGGAAGGUUUUUGGAGAGGGAAUCUGGAAAAAUUUUGGUAAUAAUUCUGUUUGGUUAGCCGACUUUAAGGAAAUUUCCAAAUAAGUCCAACACCUAACUUGUUUCCAAAAAUCAAUUGGGCAAUUAAGUAAAGCACUUGGGAACUCCAUCAUCGUACUUGGACUUUCUUUUUCUUUGUACAUCAAUUUUUUCCUCUUCCAUUCCUUAUUCAUUACUUGAGCUUUCCAUUUCUACUUUUUGUUUCCUUGUUCCUUUGAUACAAUUGGGAGCUAUAUUGAUUAAAGUUUGAUUGAACUUCCUUGAGAAAAUUUCUGAUUUCUUCAAAGGAAACAAACAAGUGGUUUGAGAAGUGAAUUGGUGAGAGCAUUAGAGUGCCAUACACACUUGAGUGAAAACACGAGAGGAGUGAAACACGUAAGGGAGCGAGUGAGGACUGUUCUACUAAUUUUUGUUGAGUUUUGCAGGUAAUAAAAGUAUGAGACAAACGAAUGCUCAACUGGAGCUUCACCAUCUUGUGCCUAAAGGAGUAAAUACUGUGGCAUUGCGUGAGAUAACUGAGCAAUUGGAAAUCAUCAAAGCUCAAAAAAAUGAUUGGUUUUAUACACGUUGCCAUAUCAAGGAUAAAGUUUGCAGCUUAGCCAUUGAUAAGGGUUGUGAAGUUAAUCUCGCAAGUACUGUCUUGGUUGAGAAAUUGAAUCUUCCAACCAUUGAUCAUCUUCGACCUUACAAGUUGCAAAGUGAUAGUAAUGAUAUUUGGAUUACUAAGCACACACUUGUUCCUUUUCGUAUUGGUCAAUACGUGGAUGAGGUGUUGUGUGAUGUGGUUCCCAUUCAAGUGACGCAUGUGCUGUUGGGACAAUGGUGGAUGUUUAAUCGAGAAGUCAAAUAUGAUGGAUAUACUAAUAAGUAUUCCUUCACAUUUAAUGGCCGUCGUACCAGGCUUGUGUCGCUUAACUCUAAGCAACUUUGUAUUGAUCUAGCAUACAUGAAGAGUGAGCAUGAGCGUUAUAGUAUGAAGAAAGAGCUGGAGGAGAGAAUUGUGACUGAAGAGGUAAAAUUCGAGGGAGUUGAAAAGGAGAAAGAGGUUGAGAAUAAUGAGGGGAAAAAGUCAGCUACUGAGCAUGAACAAGAGAUUAAAAAUUCUAAGAGUAAGCUGAUUGUGAGAAAGGAUGUGAGACCAUAUGUUUUUUCUAACGAUCUUGACUCUACUUUGUUUAGUGUUUCUACUUUUAUGCAGGUUAAGCAAGGAAAAAUUGAGUUGAUCUUGGCAUGUUCUAUGCCUAAAUCCAUUGGUGAAUAUCAAACUUUUCAUGGAGUUUGCACCUUAAGUGUUGUCUCUCUUUGUCAUCCACUGAUGUUCAACGUCAACCAUGAGCCUGAUUUGCUUGUUGGGAGGAAUAAUGAAGUUUCAAAGGGAGUUUCUACACUUGAAACUUGUUAUACAUUUCCUUCUUAUUUUGUUGGUGACAAUCCUUUCCUCAUUGGCCCAAAUUCUGAUUCCUUUCAACCUGGUUUUAUUCUUCAAUUUGAGGGUUCAAAAGCUACCUAUCUCGAUCUUGUUCCAUUUGUGCAAUAUAGGCCAUACCCACAACAACUUGCAAUGAAUUUUGUAACUUUGCACAAUCAUGUCCGAGACUUUUCUAGCCUGAUUGAGCAUCACUAUGAAGAUCCUUAUCUUGUGAAUGUGAAUGGUAAGCUGUCAAGUGAUUUUAUACCUACAAAUCCUAAUCGUGUGAUUUAUUGUGUAGGUCCAAAUUCGACCAUUCAUGACACAAUGCUGAUUAGAGAGCUUUGGAGUGGUUGGAGCAAAGCCUUGAGUUUCCCAUGGCGGAUUGUGAGCAUUUUCAAGCUAACCAAGAGACAUGUGCACCGAAUUACAAUAAUCAUGACGUAUGCAAGUAUCAUCCAUUCUAAGAGAGCCAAUAUGUGGAGAUUUGAAGUUUCAUACUGCCAACUCUUGUAGUACCAUUCAUUUCCAAACACGAUUUGAGGACAAAUCUUUUUCAAGAGGAGGGGAAUGAUACGAAAUAUGGGCCGCUUAUGGGCCAUGUUUUGGGCUGCAAGAGAUUGAAUCUUUUAGUAAUAGUUAGUAGUUUAUUUUCUAGAUUUCUAUUUUAUUUGCUAGGAAUAAAUUCGGUCCAAGACCUCAUGUUGAGUUGGAUCCGAUUUAUAGAGUCUAGGCUCACUGUAACUUAAGUUGGUUAAUUAGCUUUUAUUGGGUUAUGUUGGGCCAGCUUAAAGCCUUCAUUGGAUCAAUUAUAAGCUGACCAUUAGAUAGUGGAUUUGAGUAGUGGAAUCGGGCCAAAGGCCUAGCCUAGCCGAGUUAGGGUUUUGUCUUGUAAGGCUAUAUAUAGCCUAGGUUUUCAUUCAUUAGGGACAAUUCAGAUUUUUAUAAAAUAUUCGUGAGUUUAUUCACUUUCUCUUGCCUCAAGAGAAUUUCCUUUGAAUACUUGAGAAUUAAUCUCAAGUUGUUCAUCGAACUUAUCAAUCAAGUAGUCUCCUUGAUUGUGGCGUUCUUCUAUCCAUACUUUUGGUUCACUAAAUUUGCUAGUCGUGGGUUAAGGAAUCUCCUUAGUUCGUGGCUCGUGAUUCUAGAAGGGUCAAAGUUCCGCCAAUCAUCCCAACUUGGUGUCCGUCUAGAUCCGUCUCACAUCAACUCAUAUGCAAGCACGCAUGAUAUGCAAGAAAACAGUUCCAAAGUACCUUUGGAAACAGUUUAAAGGUAAAUAUGCAAGAAAACGGUUCAAAAGUAACUUUGGAAACAGUUCAAAAGUAAAUAAUGCAGGAAACGGUUCAUAAAUAACUUUAGAAAUAGUUUGAGGUCACUCACCUCCAUGGCUCAGAAACCAUCCAUCAUAUAUCAUUGCCUUGCUCAAAUCCAAGCCUUAGAUCGUAAACUCAAUGCAAUCAAGUCCUUUAAAAGUUCGGACAGCACUUCCCCUAAAUUUGCUAACUUUUCCAGCCAUCAUGGCUUCAUUAUUUCCUCAGCCAGUCCCAAAGGUACACACACAACAACAAGUUCAUCCAAUAGCCAUUCAGCAAGCUCCAAGUAGUACUAGUACAAGUCAAGCUAGGGAAAAGUUCGGAAAUGAAAGUUAAGCUCAAAACCAGAAAAACAGUUUUUGACAUCAUUUUCCGGUAAUGGCACCAAAGGUACUACGAUUGUCGGAUAAAGGUGCAAGACCCACCGUUUCGAAGCUAAGAGAUAGGGCUACAAUAUUUCAGAAGGUCACUCAACCCAGUUUCGAGUGUAACCAGGUCAAAAAUGCAAGAUACUACACCAGAAUCACAAAAACAGAUUCACAGAACGCACUCUAGCGGAAACAUCAUAAAGCAGGCUAUCCAAGUCCAAAUCCAGAAAUUCCAAAACCAGAUGAAAGCUAAGAAACAGGUCUACAUUUCAUCAGAAGACCUUAACAACCAAUUUGGAAGCAUUCCUGACCAAAACAACCAAUUACAGAAGCAAUUCUUACAUUCGGGUAAAACCAGGACAGCAAGGGUAAUUUCGACUUUUCUCAUUCUACACUACUUCGAUUGACCUGAAAUUUUGUAGGCACCUCUAAAAUGUCAUUCCAUACAACUUUCAUGUUUUAAUCCAAGGCCAAUUCGGCCUAUAACUAGGAGAUAUAAAUUCAGGCAGAAUGUUAUUCACAAAAACCCUAACUUGUCAAUUUUUCUUCCAAACCAGAAAUUGGUUGCAAUCAUCCACUUUUUCCACCUUCUAGAAUCAUUAUAUACCAUUUCCAAUCAUCAUAGAUAGUCACACAAUCAUGUUCAUAUUAAAACAGAAAAAUCCCCAAAAAUAAUAAAACUUCAUCACCUCAACCACAAAUCAAGAAAUAAUCCAUAAUAUUGCAUCUCAUACCACCACUAAUCAUGAUUUAAGCAUCAAUUAAGGGAAGAGGGUGGUUCUUCACAACUCACCUUAGCAAUACAAGAGAUAGAGCAACUAGCCACCUUAGCUUUCCAAACAACUUCACAACCAAGCUCAACUCCACCAAACUAAGAGGUUUUAUGGAGUAAUUGGAAGAUUAAUCGGUUUAAUUGAAAGAUUGGGCAAGAUUGGAGACUAGAAAAUUGAGAGCUUUUCUUCCCUUUUUUGAGCAAGAGAAUUCGGCCAAGAAGCUUGCAAAAUGAAGAGAUUUUUGGCCAAUUUUAAUUAAAUGGUAAAGUUAUGAAUAGUAGUCAAACUCAAGACUAAAUCUUGUGGUGACACUUGUCACCUUUAGGUUUAAAACUUAUUUUUUUGUCUCUCCAAUACAAAUAUCUUAACACCUUGUAAAAUAAUAUCACUUAAUACAAAAUUCCAACAAGUUGUCAAAAAUAUUAUGCAUGUACCGCACUUGCAGGUCCCACGUUCAAAAUACGCUCUUAAUUUCUCAAAAACUAACCGAUACUAGAAAAAUCAUUUUAAAACUAUCUUUGCUCAUAAACUUUAUCUGGGGAAUUUUUCUAAUAAAAAAAAAUGUAGAAAAGGCGGGUGAUUAAAUAAAAUAAACCCUAGAAAUUUCUUUCGGGGCGUCACAUAGGACACUUAUGUUUAGUUGAGUUUCUCUAUUCUCAUUCGUUUUCAGUCAUUGUUAUAAUAUUGUUUUAGCUUUACUUUUCUUACAUUUCUUAUUAGUUUAGAUAAUAGAGUGAGUUAGAACCUUAGUUGAUGUGAGCACGGAGUCUCAAGUGUCAAGUAACUUGCUCAUUAAAGGGGUUGCUCGAAGUUGUUUGGAAGAAGGAGAUUAAGGACUGAACUUUCCAGCUUAAUCAUUAUUUGUUUCUAGUUCAUGAUUAAUUUUAUUUCUAGUUAUGGCCAAAUAUAGCUUAGUCCACAAUUAAUCAUCAAUUGGAUUGAAUUAGAGUUAAUAAAGUGGUCCAGCUCUUAAGCUUGGAACCAUUCCUUUAGUUAGGGUUAUGGGCCAGGUUUCAAGGUCCAUUAGUUGUGUUAGGGAAUUAUGGUGUAAGACACAUAAAAACAUCAUUUCUCUCUGGAAUAAUCAGAAUUUGAGAACAUUGUUCUUGAGAGAACCCUCUCUUUGGCUCUAUGAGCUUUUCUUGAACAUUUGGAAUCAUCUAGUGUUCAAUUUCGAAUUAUCAAUCAAGAAUAUCAUCCUUGAUUUUAGCGCCUUUUAAUAAAUUUGUUCACUAGUUCAAUUGAUUGUGGGUCAAGAAGGUUCGCAAUCACGGGGAUUAAAGGGGUCCUGUGAGAACUCGAGAAAAUCAUGUGUGUGCUUUGCAUUUAUUUUAUUCUAUUUACCUUGAGAUUAGAAAUAUUACAUAUAAUGAGUAAGUGGUUAAAUUAAAUGCCUAAUUGAAUUCUUAUAAAAAUUGAGAAUUUAAAAAUAUCCUGAUUUAAUUAAGAAUAACGGUGUAAAGGGAAGAAAGUGUGAGAGCUUGAAAAUUUUAUUCCUUAUUUAAAAUUUAAUACAUGUUCCAUUUUCUUUUAUUUAUUACCAUACAUGUUUAAGGGGGGAAGUAUGUGAAAGCCCUAGAAAAUUUUUAUGUAAACCAUGCAUGUAUUAUUUCCAUUUUUGCCAUUAGAAUUAUUAUAAUACCAAUUCAUAGAUUAAUUAAACAUUUAAUUUUAAAACUUAUAAAACAAACUGUACGAACCAAAUAAAAACAUGGUGUAUAUCGUAAUUGAUAUGAAUUAAACAUAUUUUAGUGCUAAGCUACUUGUUUAGUUAAUUUCUUAAAAAUUAAAUGUGUGAGAAUUUAUGAGAUUAAGGAGAUACAAAAGAAAAUCAAGAAUUUAUAAAUAUUUUGGGGUGGUGUAAAUAUAUAUAACAAAAGUUAGGAGUUCAUGCUUGGGCUCAAGAAGUUUCAGGCCUUGGAGUGCAAUUAAUCUAUAAUUAAAUGACCUAACUACCCAUUCUUCCUAGCUAAAUCUACCAUGCGGCCAGCUAGUAUCAGAUUUAGAGACGAGUGAGUGGAGAAGCUUUGGAAUUGUCGUCCACCGAGAGUGAGGAAGCUGUGAGUGAUCACCGAGAGAAAGAAAAUAUUUCUGGUUCCUCUUGUCCAGCUUGCAACCGAGAGAGAGAGAGUGAGGGAGAGAGUGCUAGCUUCAUCCCUUCAGCUUGCAACCUCUUAACCGUGAGCCAAAGUGAGUGAGUGGGAGAGAAAUCUUGUUAGCUGCAUCAUCCACCAGUCUUAACCGAGAGUGAAAGUGACGUAAGGAAGGAGAAGGAGAGAGUUGGAGCAGAAACUUUGAGGAGCCGCAGCAGAAAGCUAAGAGUAACCUGCAAUUACCGAAUUCUAAAGGAAAGAGGAACUCAUUUCUGGCCUCUUUCAACCGUGAGAACCAGCCACAAAGAAAGAAGGAAUAUGCAGUCUACCGAGUUAAGGAUGGGAGAGUGAAGCCAGAAUUUUAUUUUCUUAACUUAGGCCAUAAGAACCAGAGGUAAACUACUGUCCUCCUCUUCCAGUUCUUCCACGUUUAGUUUGUAGUCUUUUAGAUUGUGUUGGAACCAAGUAAAAGAAACUUUCUGGAAAACAAAGGUUAUCAAAGCUGGAACGUUAGUUUGAAGCUGCUAUGUGAUACUUGAUGAGCUAAUCUGAAAUUUUCCAGUUGUAUCUUCUGUUGCAUGUCUCACAUACAUUUUCUGGUCACAUAUCUUAACAUGCAUAUCACCUUUGAGAGGUUAAAAGCAAGGAAAAGAUGAAUUAAAAGCAGGAACAUUGUUGGAAAUUUUAAUGAGGACCGUAGGAAGAAAACUUGCUGGAAUUUUCCAGCUCUAUCCGAGAGAAGGAAAUGAAGAGGUUUCUAGCUGUCCUCAUGAAUUAUGGCCUUGAAUCUCUAUGUUAAACUGUAGUAUAUGAUGUAUAAUAGUGGUCUGAACAUGCAUGGAAGAUUUGAGCAAGAACUGAAGUGAUUAUUGGAGAGAAAAUAGUGUUGAGUGAUUGCUGCAACAAUUCUGGAAAAAAAAAAAAAUGCAGAAGGAAGAAGAUUGUGAGCUGAACCAGUAUUGUUCUGAUUUCCCUUGGCUAUAAACUUGUAUUCCUGCUGAUGGUACUCUGUAGUUUGAUAACCAACCUUGCAUGUGGGAUUUAAUGAACAAAACUGAAAGAUUAGGGAGGAAAAACUAUGAACUGCGUUGUUAAUUGCUUCACAGCUGAGUGAGUGAAGCAGGAUGGGCUUCUGUCCGGCCAUUUUUGACUAUGAAAAUGUGAGAACUGGAUGCGGGUGUCUUCACAAGAAAUGUAGGUCUAUAUUUUAGCUUCGAAACGCUAUAAAGUUCGCCUCAAUCCGAUAAGCAUAGCUCUAGUUAUGAUUGAAAUACCAGAGGAUGGCAAAGCUGCCUUCCUCGUUGCCUUUCCUUUUGUUUCGCAUGCAUGCAGCUUUGAUCAUGGCCGUGAGGAAACUGACUUUUAACUAACGUUCCUUAUAAUUUCCAAUCUUGUAAGCUUUCAUAAAUGAUAGUUACGAUUGUGCUGAGAUUUAAUCGCUAUACCUAGUUCCACGAGUAGAGUUAGACUAAGGCAAUUGAGUGAAAAGUCACGAUGGUUAUAUACGUAAAGUGGCUUCUAAUUAUUUAAUAUUGGUUUCACGAAUAUUUUUAAAGGCUAUUAAAUUGAGGGACUGGUAUAGUGGAAUAAAACUUAAUUUCCAAAUAACUUAGAGUCUAAUUAAUUAAAAGGGACAAAAGCUAUAUAAAUAAACUAUCAAUUGCUGGAAAAUUUUAUCUUAGCUAAUGACACAUUUAUGGGGACUUUUGGUGGAAUAAUUUAUUGGAAUUAAGCGUUAUUUGCUUUGGUAUAUGCUGGUAUGAAUGUCAUACCUAAAUGUAUGAUGGUUUGAAUAAGAGUCUUAUGGUUUUAAAAGAGAAAAAGGAGUUUUUCACAAGUGAAAAAUGAGUUUCCAGAUUUUCGGAUUUCUCUGACCAGUCUCAGUAAAAUGCUUAUAUCUUGGUGUAGGAAAAUCCGAUUGAGGUGCCGUCAGUGGCAUUUGAAACUAGAGUCAUGGGCCUUUGUUUUGUAGAAAUUUCAUAUUUUUCCUCCAUGUGUACUGCUGUCCGUGAUUCCUCAAAGUAGGCUGUCCUGUUUGAAUGUCCUGUUUCCUCAGGAAACUGAAUUCUUGACUUGGAUCGAAUAUUUGGCCUAUUUGUGAUUUGAAUCUCUGAAAAGUGUCUUCUGGGAUGUGAUAGUAUUAAAAAUCUAUUCUACAACAGUAUAACUUUCAUAAUUGUUUGAUUUGUGGAACAUGAACUAAAGCAAUUUUUUAAGGAAAAUAUUUUCCAGCAUGACCGAACUGGUUGGGACUUUUGGUGAGUUUAUUUGCUGGAUUUGUGUAUUAUUUACUUUAGCUUGGUUUGGACAGAUUAUAAUCUAUAUGUAUAGUGAUUCUAGCAAGUAAAAGUGGAAAGUUUAAUGGAUAUUUUAGAUUCUUGGAAUCAUUUGGAUCUCAAGUUGGUUGUAGUUUUUGUUCUUGUUUUGAAUGAAUUGGUAUUUGAAAGUGUGUAUUGGUUGUCAAGAGCUAAUGAUUGAUGAAGCUCUUGACCAUUUGAGUAGUUUUGCAAUAAUUUAAUUUUUGGUGAAUUUGUUCAAGAGGUUGGUUGAAGUGUAUUUGGAAGGUCCAUGGGGUAUGAUUGGGAUUGCUUUAGUACCUUGGACUUCCUUUGUUGAAUUUUAAUUAUACUGGAUUUGGUUGAGACCUAGGGCUAAUGAUUGAUGAAGCUCUAGUGAAAUUGAUAUUUGGUUUGUAAUGUUUCUAUCUUGGUGACUCGGGAAUCCAUUGUGCAAAUGAGCUGAAUUUGUGAAGACCGUUUUGAUUAUUCUUGAUCUUGAAUAUUUUCAAAAUCAAAUUUUGUGGAAAUAUUCUGCCUUAAUAUCAAGUGAUAGAAUUGAGUUUAGUAUAUUAUUAAUUAAAACUUAGUUAUUUGGACUUUUAAAACCUUGCCGACUAGUUAAUUCCUUUAUUUUACUUAAGCUAGUUUAUUAUCUUUAGGGAGUAAUCGUAUUUAACCUUCUAAAUCUUAAGCUCUCCUAAAACUAUCCUUGACUAGACGUUUUAAAGGAAAUUUGUUAAAAACAUUAGAUUUGAAUAAUUUCAAAUAAAAGACAAAGAAAACUUGUUUGAAUUAAUUUGGUUCUAGUUUGCCCUCUAGAAGGGAAAUACCUUUAAAGAAACCAUACGAGAUAUUUUAUUUCUUUACUAGCCUUAAUUCCAAGGGAAUGAUUGAGUUGUUUUGAGAAAUUAAAUUAGUUUUAUACAGGAUAACCUUUUAUAUACAAAACAAGAGUUUGUUUAGUAAAACUUAUAGUUUUAAAACUUGGAUUUCUAGGGUGUAGCGAGGACGUGGACUUCGAUUCCCAGCUUGACUUUUGAGCUUCACUUUUGGUGAGUGUCCCUGCCUGUUUUAUGACUAUUUGGUUAAAGUGCUUUAUCGACUCGUUGUGUGAUAAUUGCCAAAAAUGAUUGCUGAUCCAUCGAAGUGAGCAGUGUGAACUUUAUCACACUAGCCUUUCGAGUGGUGACUUGCUUGAAGUGUUUUUCGUGAAUAUCUUGCUUGCGUUUGCUAAGUGCCAAAUUACUAGGCAGGGGAGUGUACCACACCAUAAGGGUGGGAGGGCCUCUUAUCCUGUCCUGGUAAUCAAGUGUUGGACGUAAAGUCAUUGGGUGAAUCCCUCGAUCAGUCUAUAACAAUCAAGUGCUGGACGUAAAGUCGUUGGGUGAAUCCCUCGACCAGUCUAUAAAUAUAAGUGUUGGACGUAAUGUCGUUGGGUGAAUCCCUCGACCAGUCUAUAAAUAUAAGUGUUGGACGUAAUGUCGUUGGGUGAAUCCCUCGACCAGUCUAUAAAUAUAAGUGUUGGACGUAAUGUUGUUGGGUGAAUUCCUCGACCUGUCUAAGGUAUACUCGAAUAUUAUUGCUUUCCUAUUUAUUUACUUCAGUCGAAUCAAUACGUGUUAAUUGUUUCGAGUGAUUGCAUGAUUUUGGUGCACCACUGAGUUUUAGCUCACCCCACGUUUAUUUGUUUUUCUUGACAGGUCUUGAGGUUUGAGAAAUCUGAGCUGCUUAUAUCUUCUUAAGAAUGUAUCUACUUCGUUUUGUGACUUGUAAUGUAUUUGAAUUAAACGAUAUAGUUUUGUUUUGGGUUUGAAGCUGGAGAUGUGUAGACCCUGAUGAUAAUAUUUGGCUUGUAUGUGUAUAUAUACUCGGGCUGUAUGAAAUUUCAUGUUUUGGAAACUGUAAGACCUUACUUCUUGAAUGUAACGCGUGAGGUAUUUAGGAGCCGCCGAUUGGCUAACUUCGGUUGCUGUUAUCUUUGAAGUUAAUGUGUUUUAGUAUUCAAGCUGCUUAAAAGUUGGCAUGAUCGGAUGGUGGAUUGUGUUUUGGUUUAAGUUAUACGUGGAUAUUUGGUCGGUUUGCUUGCGUGAGUCCUGGCGAGAGCUAGGCAGGCGACCCGUCAACCCUCUGGUUCGCCUUAGGGGGAAGUGGGGUCGUCACAGGUGGUAUCAGAGCUCCUAAUGAGCUCAAUCCGGGAGAGGGUUCUCGGACCGUGGGGAAUGGCCUAUUAAGUAUUGAACUAAUUACUACUGCUAAGGGAGUUAGAUAUGUAUGUUGGAUAGGAAUCUCAAAUCUAGGUGAUUCAUGCUUGGGACUGGCCAGCUUGAGUUGUGAAUCAUCCUAUUUUUGGAUUCUUGUACUCGAGUACCAAGUAUUACAUUUAAUGGAGUAUUUGCAAAAUAGGAAGAAUUUAGUAUACUGCAUUAUGACGUGAUCAGAAAUCAUGAUUUAAUUUGAAGAAAUAGAAGUAAAGAGACCAAGGCUAGCUUUUGGAAGUUUAAAGUGAAGAGCCAGUAGUGAGAUCUUAAAGAUUAGUGCAAAUUCUGCUUGUCAAGAUGAAUAAUUUUACAAUGGGUUAUAUGCCAUCUCUUACCCAAAAAUGUGGGUUUAAACCUGAACUUUGGGUGAAAUAGUAGUUUAAGUAAGGACCAGGAGCAUUCUCCCGGCAGUGUGUUUUAGGGCAUCGAAUGACUUGUCACUGUGACCGUUUAAGAACUUACCUCUAUUUGGAGCGAGUGAUAUGAGUUCAAAUGGGUAAAAGACAGAGGCUAGUAAUAGCAAAUGAGAGAGUUCAUACUAGAAUGUAAGAAAUGAGGAAAUCCGUAAGGAUGCGACGUGAUAGGAAUUCUAGAGUUAGAAACUAAUACGAUAAAGGAACCUAUGGAAGCGAAACCGGAAGAAUGAGUGGGGUCUAGUGGGAUUGUCGAGGACUAAACUAAUGAAGGUUAAGUCGAAUCUAAACUAAGGGUUGAGCUAUUAGCUAUGUGGUGAUAAUAAUUGGUGUAUUAUUGAAGUGUUUCCCUUCAUGUUUAUAAAGAUCGAAGUUUAAGUUAUGUAUGGAAAUAUUGAAUGUAUCUGGGAAUUGUUUAGUUUUUAAAGUUGUAUGAAUUUGGUGUGCAAUGUGACUUAUAUUGUGAGUAUGCAACUUGAUGAUUACGUGUUUAAUUUGUUAUAAUGCUGUAAUAUUUAUUAGUCCUUGGGAUUAAAUAAUUAUUAAUCUGAGUGAAAUUUGGUAACCAAAGUCAUGUAUAGGAACUAUGAGAUUAAAAUUGAAAAAAAAAUAAUAGAAUUGAAAGAGCUGAGUCUAGCUAUUGAAAGUUAAAAGUGAAAAGGCAUUAGUGGUGGCCUUACUAGCCUUUUGAUAGUAAAUGAACUAUAUACCAUCCCUUACUCUAAAAUGUGGCUUUAGACCUAGAAUCUGAGUGAAAUGGCAGUUUAAGUAAGAACUAUGCAGUUGUGAGUGGCUCUAAACCUGGAGGAGAGAUAAGUUUGAUGAAUUUGCCAUGUGAUUAGUAUGCUACCAUUUGCAAAUAAUUAGAGGUGAGUUCUAGAUGACAUUGUGGUCUUUGAAUUUUAUUGGAGGAUUAUUUGGGGCUAAUGUCCAAUAGAAUAAAGAUAACUAGUUGUUAGGUUAUUAGAAGUAAUGAUCAUAUUAUUGGAUUUGAUAUUAGACGUAGUAGAUCUACAAGUUACUAAGGAAUUUUGAUUAGUGUUACUAAUGGGGUAAUUGGAUUAGUAAAUGCACUUGAACGAUUGUCACCUUGACUAUGUUGGGAUGAUUAUACACUGUAGUCAGUAUAAAAUAAACGUCUAUCAAUGGAUAAGAUUAAGCCAAGACUAAGGUUAAUGGUGCUUUAACUAUUAAGGCAAGACUUAGAUGGAUGAAAUAAGAAAAUAAAUUAUUUUGCAGUGGAAUUUAGAGAGAUGUAAUACAUGGAGCAGGUGGUGAUUAUUAGGGCAAUGAUGCCAUGGUGAAUCGUUGCAAAUUAUGAGUCCAAAGAAAUAUUUAUCGUAACAUGUUUACAAGUUGUUGAUGUAACAAUUAUUAAUAACAAGAAGCAGGAAAGGGUAAGAACAUGAAUAAAAUUUAAAAGUUAGUAAAUUUGAUCUAUUUAUCAGCUCAUACUUUUAGAAGAAAGAACAGACCAAUGAUGAAGCCAUGACUUGAUAGAUCUAGUGAAUGGGAUAAUAUUAUUGGGAUAAUAUUUAAAAAAAUAAAUAAAUAAAUAAACUGAACUUUUGUUAAUAAAGGUAGGAAUUUCAAGGGUCUAUCAGCUCUAUUAUGGAUAGAAACUAAUAGGUCGGGAUGAUUGAGUCGGAACUUUGCCAUGUUUAGAUAUUGGAUGUACUUAAAAAGACUUGUUUGACUUCUUAUUAAAGUGUACUUGAGUUUGAUAUAUGCUUUAAUUGACUUUGUUCUGUGGUGUAGUCAAAUUGAUCAUGAGUUUGCUUUGUAUUAAUGAUAUAUAUGGAGUGAAAUUGACUGCAAAUUGUAUGCACGCAUAAUGGGUUAUUACAUAUUGUAAAUCGACUCGUUGUGAGAAAUAUAGAGCUUAGGAAGCGAUAAUGUCAGGUUUAUAAUGCUAUCUUAGGUGAAGAUUGUUUAAUUGAGUAUAACGCGCAGAUAAAUUGUAAAUUAAAGUAGUUGAAUUUUUAUAUACUUUGGAAAGUAGUCGAUACGACACUUAAAUUACGGAGGGAAAACACUAAGACCAAAUUCCUUUGGUUAAGGUUUUGUGGUAAACGUGAAUGAUUAGACGAAGUGAUGUGGAAAUGGAAGAUAAAAUACGAAAAGGUUACCGGAACUUUUUACGAUUAAAAGUGUGAAAUUUCGAGGACGAAAUUUUCUUAAGGGAGGAAGGAUGUGAGAACUCGAGAAAAUCAUGUGUGUGCUUUGCAUUUAUUUUAUUCUAUUUACCUUGAGAUUAGAAAUAUUACAUAUAAUGAGUAAGUGGUUAAAUUAAAUGCCUAAUUGAAUUCUUAUAAAAAUUGAGAAUUUAAAAAUAUCCUGAUUUAAUUAAGAAUAACGGUGUAAAGGGAAGAAAGUGUGAGAGCUUGAAAAUUUUAUUCCUUAUUUAAAAUUUAAUACAUGUUCCAUUUUCUUUUAUUUAUUACCAUACAUGUUUAAGGGGGGAAGUAUGUGAAAGCCCUAGAAAAUUUUUAUGUAAACCAUGCAUGUAUUAUUUCCAUUUUUGCCAUUAGAAUUAUUAUAAUACCAAUUCAUAGAUUAAUUAAACAUUUAAUUUUAAAACUUAUAAAACAAACUGUACGAACCAAAUAAAAACAUGGUGUAUAUCGUAAUUGGUAUGAAUUAAACAUAUUUUAGUGCUAAGCUACUUGUUUAGUUAAUUUCUUAAAAAUUAAAUGUGUGAGAAUUUAUGAGAUUAAGGAGAUACAAAAGAAAAUCAAGAAUUUAUAAAUAUUUUGGGGUGGUGUAAAUAUAUAUAACAAAAGUUAGGAGUUCAUGCUUGGGCUCAAGAAGUUUCAGGCCUUGGAGUGCAAUUAAUCUAUAAUUAAAUGACCUAACUACCCAUUCUUCCUAGCUAAAUCUACCAUGCGGCCAGCUAGUAUCAGAUUUAGAGACGAGUGAGUGGAGAAGUUUUGGAAUUGUCGUCCACCGAGAGUGAGGAAGCUGUGAGUGAUCACCGAGAGAAAGAAAAUAUUUCUGGUUCCUCUUGUCCAGCUUGCAACCGAGAGAGAGAGAGAGUGAGGGAGAGAGUGCUAGCUUCAUCCCUUCAGCUUGCAACCUCUUAACCGUGAGCCAAAGUGAGUGAGUGGGAAAGAAAUCUUGUUAGCUGCAUCAUCCACCAGUCUUAACCGAGAGUGAAAGUGACGUAAGGAAGGAGAAGGAGAGAGUUGGAGCAGAAACUUUGAGGAGCCGCAGCAGAAAGCUAAGAGUAACCUGCAAUUACCGAAUUCUAAAGGAAAGAGGAACUCAUUUCUGGCCUCUUUCAACCGUGAGAACCAGCCACAAAGAAAGAAGGAAUAUGCAGUCUACCGAGUUAAGGAUGGGAGAGUGAAGCCAGAAUUUUAUUUUCUUAACUUAGGCCAUAAGAACCAGAGGUAAACUACUGUCCUCCUCUUCCAGUUCUUCCACGUUUAGUUUGUAGUCUUUUAGAUUGAGUUGGAACCAAGUAAAAGAAACUUUCUGGAAAACAAAGGUUAUCAAAGCUGGAACGUUAGUUUGAAGCUGCUAUGUGAUACUUGAUGAGCUAAUCUGCAAUUUUCCAGUUGUAUCUUCUGUUGCAUGUCUCACAUACAUUUUCUGGUCACAUAUCUUAACAUGCAUAUCACCUUUGCAAGGUUAAAAGCAAGGAAAAGAUGAAUUAAAAGCAGGAACAUUGUUGGAAAUUUUAAUGAGGACCGUAGGAAGAAAACUUGCUGGAAUUUUCCAGCUCUAUCCGAGAGAAGGAAAUGAAGAGGUUUCUAGCUGUCCUCAUGAAUUAUGGCCUUGAAUCUCUAUGUUAAACUGUAGUAUAUGAUGUAUAAUAGUGGUUGAACAUGCAUGGAAGAUUUGAGCAAGAACUGAAGUGAUUAUUGGAGAGAAAAUAGUGUUGAGUGAUUGCUGCAACAAUUCUGGAAAAAAAAAAAAUGCAGAAGGAAGAAGAUUGUGAGCUGAACCAGUAUUGUUCUGAUUUCCCUUGGCUAUAAACUUGUAUUCCUGCUGAUGGUACUCUGUAGUUUGAUAACCAACCUUGCAUGUGGGAUUUAAUGAACAAAACUGAAAGAUUAGGGAGGAAAAACUAUGAACUGCGUUGUUAAUUGCUUCACAGCUGAGUGAGUGAAGCAGGAUGGGCUUCUGUCCGGCCAUUUUUGACUAUGAAAAUGUGAGAACUGGAUGCGGGUGUCUUCACAAGAAAUGUAGGUCUAUAUUUUAGCUUCGAAACGCUAUAAAGUUCGCCUCAAUCCGAUAAGCAUAGCUCUAGUUAUGAUUGAAAUACCAGAGGAUGGCAAAGCUGCCUUCCUCGUUGCCUUUCCUUUUGUUUCGCAUGCAUGCAGCUUUGAUCAUGGCCGUGAGGAAACCGACUUUUAACUAACGUUCCUUAUAAUUUCCAAUCUUGUAAGCUUUCAUAAAUGAUAGUUACGAUUGUGCUGAGAUUUAAUCGCUAUACCUAGUUCCACGAGUAGAGUUAGACUAAGGCAAUUGAGUGAAAAGUCACGAUGGUUAUAUACGUAAAGUGGCUUCUAAUUAUUUAAUAUUGGUUUCACGAAUAUUUUUAAAGGCUAUUAAAUUGAGGGACUGGUAUAGUGGAAUAAAACUUAAUUUCCAAAUAACUUAGAGUCUAAUUAAUUAAAAGGGACAAAAGCUAUAUAAAUAAACUAUCAAUUGCUGGAAAAUUUUAUCUUAGCUAAUGACACAUUUAUGGGGACUUUUGGUGGAAUAAUUUAUUGGAAUUAAGCGUUAUUUGCUUUGGUAUAUGCUGGUAUGAAUGUCAUACCUAAAUGUAUGAUGGUUUGAAUAAGAGUCUUAUGGUUUUAAAAGAGAAAAAGGAGUUUUUCACAAGUGAAAAAUGAGUUUCCAGAUUUUCGGAUUUCUCUGACCAGUCUCAGUAAAAUGCUUAUAUCUUGGUGUAGGAAAAUCCGAUUGAGGUGCCGUCAGUGGCAUUUGAAACUAGAGUCAUGGGCCUUUGUUUUGUAGAAAUUUCAUAUUUUUCCUCCAUGUGUACUGCUGUCCGUGAUUCCUCAAAGUAGGCUGUCCUGUUUGAAUGUCCUGUUUCCUCAGGAAACUGAAUUCUUGACUUGGAUCGAAUAUUUGGCCUAUUUGUGAUUUGAAUCUCUGAAAAGUGUCUUCUGGGAUGUGAUAGUAUUAAAAAUCUAUUCUACAACAGUAUAACUUUCAUAAUUGUUUGAUUUGUGGAACAUGAACUAAAGCAAUUUUUUAAGGAAAAUAUUUUCCAGCAUGACCGAACUGGUUGGGACUUUUGGUGAGUUUAUUUGCUGGAUUUGUGUAUUAUUUACUUUAGCUUGGUUUGGACAGAUUAUAAUCUAUAUGUAUAGUGAUUCUAGCAAGUAAAAGUGGAAAGUUUAAUGGAUAUUUUAGAUUCUUGGAAUCAUUUGGAUCUCAAGUUGGUUGUAGUUUUUGUUCUUGUUUUGAAUGAAUUGGUAUUUGAAAGUGUGUAUUGGUUGUCAAGAGCUAAUGAUUGAUGAAGCUCUUGACCAUUUGAGUAGUUUUGCAAUAAUUUAAUUUUUGGUGAAUUUGUUCAAGAGGUUGGUUGAAGUGUAUUUGGAAGGUCCAUGGGGUAUGAUUGGGAUUGCUUUAGUACCUUGGACUUCCUUUGUUGAAUUUUAAUUAUACUGGAUUUGGUUGAGACCUAGGGCUAAUGAUUGAUGAAGCUCUAGUGAAAUUGAUAUUUGGUUUGUAAUGUUUCUAUCUUGGUGACUCGGGAAUCCAUUGUGCAAAUGAGCUGAAUUUGUGAAGACCGUUUUGAUUAUUCUUGAUCUUGAAUAUUUUCAAAAUCAAAUUUUGUGGAAAUAUUCUGCCUUAAUAUCAAGUGAUAGAAUUGAGUUUAGUAUAUUAUUAAUUAAAACUUAGUUAUUUGGACUUUUAAAACCUUGCCGACUAGUUAAUUCCUUUAUUUUACUUAAGCUAGUUUAUUAUCUUUAGGGAGUAAUCGUAUUUAACCUUCUAAAUCUUAAGCUCUCCUAAAACUAUCCUUGACUAGACGUUUUAAAGGAAAUUUGUUAAAAACAUUAGAUUUGAAUAAUUUCAAAUAAAAGACAAAGAAAACUUGUUUGAAUUAAUUUGGUUCUAGUUUGCCCUCUAGAAGGGAAAUACCUUUAAAGAAACCAUACGAGAUAUUUUAUUUCUUUACUAGCCUUAAUUCCAAGGGAAUGAUUGAGUUGUUUUGAGAAAUUAAAUUAGUUUUAUACAGGAUAACCUUUUAUAUACAAAACAAGAGUUUGUUUAGUAAAACUUAUAGUUUUAAAACUUGGAUUUCUAGGGUGUAGCGAGGACGUGGACUUCGAUUCCCAGCUUGACUUUUGAGCUUCACUUUUGGUGAGUGUCCCUGCCUGUUUUAUGACUAUUUGGUUAAAGUGCUUUAUCGACUCGUUGUGUGAUAAUUGCCAAAAAUGAUUGCUGAUCCAUCGAAGUGAGCAGUGUGAACUUUAUCACACUAGCCUUUCGAGUGGUGACUUGCUUGAAGUGUUUUUCGUGAAUAUCUUGCUUGCGUUUGCUAAGUGCCAAAUUACUAGGCAGGGGAGUGUACCACACCAUAAGGGUGGGAGGGCCUCUUAUCCUGUCCUGGUAAUCAAGUGUUGGACGUAAAGUCGUUGGGUGAAUCCCUCGAUCAGUCUAUAACAAUCAAGUGCUGGACGUAAAGUCGUUGGGUGAAUCCCUCGACCAGUCUAUAAAUAUAAGUGUUGGACGUAAUGUCGUUGGGUGAAUCCCUCGACCAGUCUAUAAAUAUAAGUGUUGGACGUAAUGUUGUUUGGUGAAUCCCUCGACCAGUCUAAGGUAUACUCGAAUAUUAUUGCUUUCCUAUUUAUUUACUUCAGUCGAAUCAAUACGUGUUAAUUGUUUCGAGUGAUUGCAUGAUUUUGGGGCACCACUGAGCUUUAGCUCACCCCACGUUUAUUUGUUUUUCUUGACAGGUCUUGAGGUUUGAGAAAUCUGAGCUGCUUAUAUCUUCUUAAGAAUGUAUCUACUUCGUUUUGUGACUUGUAAUGUAUUUGAAUUAAACGAUAUAGUUUUGUUUUGGGUUUGAAGCUGGAGAUGUGUAGACCCUGAUGAUAAUAUUUGGCUUGUAUGUGUAUAUAUACUCGGGCUGUAUGAAAUUUCAUGUUUUGGAAACUGUAAGACCUUACUUCUUGAAUGUAACGUGUGAGGUAUUUAGGAGCCGCCGAUUGGCUAACUUCGGUUGCUGUUAUCUUUGAAGUUAAUGUGUUUUAGUAUUCAAGCUGCUUAAAAGUUGGCAUGAUCGGAUGGCAGAUUGUGUUUUGGUUUAAGUUAUACGUGGAUAUUUGGUCGGUUUGCUUGCGUGAGUCCUGGCGAGAGCUAGGCAGGCGACCCGCCAACCCUCUGGUUCGCCUUAGGGGGAAGUGGGGUCGUCACAGGUCCAGAGUAAGAACAUCGGCCAAAUUCAAGCUUGGAAACACCACCAUUGAUCUGAGGUUUGUCGUCACAAUUCUUGUCACCAACGGGAUUUGUAUAAGCUAGUAUCAGAGCUAGUCAGUGAAUUUUCAAGUUAUAUCUUUUGUGUUUCUUCAAUUCGUUAGUCUUGUGGAAGUUUCAGGAUCAUUCGUUGCUCUUUAGAACCACUAAGGAUUGUUUUUGUUCAUUGAAUUUCUUGUUUGUUCAUGCAUCUUGAAUUUUCUGCUUGUCGUUAGUUUAUUCUUUUGCAAUCUGUCUGUGUUAAUUUUUUUUGUUGUUUUCAUUGUGUUGAAGUCUAGAAUUUUGGUGUUAAAUUGUGUUGGUUGUUAGUGUUUUAUUCCAGAAAUUUUGACAAAAAAAAAUCCGGCCGUAGGGUUUCUUAGUGUUCAUCUGAUCUUGCCUUGUUUCUAGUCGGUUUUUUAUACAAUCUGUCUGAAACUUCUAGGCAUUAUUUUCCUUUGUUUUGUCCUAAUUAUAUCAUUAAUUCUUGUUGUUAAUUCAUGUCCCUUUGGUAGUAAAACAUCCCAGCAAAAUUUCGCAAAUUUCCAGCUGCUAGGUGUCCAUCUAGCCGCGACCAACACUACGUUUUGUGUUCUUGAAUCUGUCCGCAACAGCUGUUGUUGAUUGCAUGUGUUCUUGUUUCCAAAAUCUUGUAUGAUGGUUGUAUCAUGAUUUCAUGAAAGAUUGAGUCAAGAAAAAGGAUAUGCAAUCGUUAGUUUUUGCAACAAACUUCUUGUCGUGAUUUGGUUUGAAGAAUCCAAGUCAUUGUUUAGGGUUCUUGUUAGAGUUUGGCUGUGAUUCUGGAAUUUGCAUAGAAAAUUAGACUAACUUGCAGUUGUUGAAUUGAAGUACCAAAUUUCUUGAAGUUCUUGAUUGUUUGAAACACAAUCUGGAAUUCUUGAAGCAACAAACUCGAAUCUUGAAGCUUUAUCCCACCCUAAAACUGUCCUUGUUUAAAAUCAAGAGAUUGUGAGCUGUUUAGGGGGAAAAUUCAACAAACUACUGUUGUUUCUUGAUUUUGGAAAUAUCUUGUACAUUCUUGUGCGAAAUUCCAGAAAUUUUCUGGGUUGUUUGGGAGCCAAAAGCUGAUUAUACCAAACCUGCAAAUUUUCCAGCAACUAAGCCUUGCAUUCUUAAACUCUUGACUGGUUUAAUCUUAACCAGAAUUUCAGCCACGAAAUUUUGUUGUUACAGCCACAAAACUUGAACCAUUAGACACUAGAAAUCACACCCAAAUUGGUGUUUUUGAGGGUGACAAUACAGCUGAACAAUAAAACAACAAAACACCAGCAACUACAACCCAAAUCCCUUUCGGAUUACAAGUCUUAAAUCCGACAGCCUUUAUUCCAACUUCAUUUGGGAAACUUGUGAAACCACCUGUUAAAUCCUUGAACUAGUGGGAAAAGGGAUCAAACUAGACUUGUUUCAAGAUAUCAUAGUCCCAAAAAAUUCCAGAUUGCUACAAUCAAUCACAAACAAAUCCAAAAAUUAGAGUUGUGAGGACCCGAAAAUAAUUUUAAAUGUUCUCCUAUUUUUGAAAAAUUAAUUUAUAGUUCCUUUUAAUUUUACUUUACUUGCUUAUUUCCUAGCCUCAAUUUGAUAGUUGUAAGAACCCGAAAAUUUAGGUUAUAUUUUAUUUUAUUUCUUUACUUUAAAUUAUUGUCUUAAUUUCCUAGAUAUUUUUAUAAGUGAGUCAAGUUUUUAAAUCAUUUCCUUGAAUAAGUUGGUUCAUGUUAAGUUCAUGGCGUACUAUGGACGUGGGACCCGCUAGCACGGUAAGUACGAUAAAUUUUUGACGACUAGGUGAAGUUUUGUAUAAAGAGAUAUUAGUUAUAAGGUGCUAAGGGAUAAUUAGAGGUUAGUUAGAUAGUUUAACCAUUGGUAGACAAGAAGAUGAGAUUAAAACCUUAGGAUGGCAUUUGUCACGAAACCAUUGCAAGUUGGACUUUGACCAACCUUUCUUCACCUUUACAAAAAAAUCAAAAUUUGACCAAAACUUCUCCAUUUUUCUUUUUUGCUUGGCCUACUUUCUUGAGGGAGAGAAAGGGAGAGAAACUUCAUCUUGUCUUGCAAUUUCUUGCUACAAUCUUGAGUUCCAACCAUUAAAUUUGCAAAUUACUCUAUACAAAGUGCUAACUAAGGAAGGGUAGAGGUGUUGAUGGGAUGAUUUUUGGAGGGAAAAGCCCUAAGCUACCAUCUUUCUUGUGGUUCUAAGGUAACUUGCCAAGAAAUCCCUCUUUGCUUCUAAUAAUUGCAUAUUAGUGGUUUAGGGUUGCUAAAUGUGUAGUUUUGUGAGAAAUUUCAUGAUUGGAGGUGGUGAUAUGUAGAUUUUCAGUUUUAUUGGUGAAUUUUCUGCUCAUAUAUGAAGCUUAAGGGUUGGCCAUGAUUUACUAGCUUUGACAUGUGAAAUAUCUAGUGUUUAUGUGCUAGUUUAAUUUACCUAAAGAAAUUUUCAGCUUGGGUGCAUAAAUUUCAGCUUAGGGUUUCAUUUUCUAACUUGAGUAGGUGAUAGUUAUAUGCUUGAUUUAGUAAGUUAUUAGCUUGAUAUGUAUAUGCUUGAGUUGAGACUGUUUUGUGGUAAGAAUGAAGCCUUGAAUUAGCUGGAAAAGUAGUAAACACAAAGGAGGUGCCGUUGAAAAUUUUGUCCACAGGAAACCUUGGGCAGCCUUAGGAAAUCUUCUAUAUCUUGUUGUAGAAAAGUCAGGAUUUAUUUUCGUUUGUUGCGUUUGAAACUAAAUUCAGAAUACUAUCAACCAUGAAAAUUUCAGCCUUUUUUUCAAUUCCCAUGAAUAUCUGUGAUUUUUCAAAGUUGACUGAAAUUGCAUACCUGUUCUGUCUUUUACUGGAUGAAGUAGCAACUUGAGACUCAAAUUUGACUGACUUAUGGACUGAAUCAACAUUUGGACAAAACAUGAAAGUUGUAGGAAUUUGAGUUAAAUUUCUACCUACAAAAUUUUAGAUCAAUUAGAUCAUUUUAGCUUAUGAUUUGGCCAGAGCACUCCUGACUGCGCAAAAAACUCUAAUUUUCCUAACCUGUUUUUCAUGUGUUUUUGACCGUCCAUUUUUGACCUUGAAAAUGAGAGAAUUUGUGACAGCCCAACCUUUUCCUAAGGCGUACCAAAGGGGUUAGCGGACUGCCUGCCCAACUCUCGCCAGGACUACUAGCACAAGUAUAUACCGUCUAAAACGUUCCGGAAGGUAUUAGCGCGCUGAAACGAAGUAAAAAUCAUGAAACAAAAAUGGAAAAUCGAAGCCGCACAUGAACAGUGCAGGCCACGUCACAAUUCGGCCGGAAUCUGGCCGGAUUUCCGGCCAGAUUCUUGGCUGGAUUGGAGGCAGUAGCCAACUGCCUGGAUUCAAAAAUUUCUGACCUUUCCCACCAAAAAUUUUUCUUUUGCCGUUUGAAAUUCGAACCCGUCUGAAACCCAAUCAAUUACCAACAAAUCAUAUACAUCUUGGAAUUUGACAUUCACAAACCAAAAUAACACAUGAACAUUGCCAACCAUGUUCAUACAUGUGAUUUCAAAUUUACAACUCAAAAGGCAAUGUUAAAUCCAAAUACAUUUAAGGUUUUCCACCCAUCGAGGAGCUAUACAAAAGAAUAUUAAACUAGCUCAACUCGGCUUCAAAUUCGCAGUUCCCAAAAGGUAUUCACAUCCCUGUAAGGAAAACAAAAGCAAUGGAGUGAGCUUUCGCCCAAUGACUGAUACGAAAUAUGGGCCGCUUAUGGGCCAUGUUUUAGGCUGCAAGAGAUUGAAUCUUUAGUAAUAGUUAGUAGUUUAUUUUCUACUUUUCUAUUUUAUUUGCUAGGAAUAAAUUUGGCCAUAGGAUAGGCCAUGUGGGCCACCUUUGUAGUCCCUACGCUGAGCUGUUACUUUAAAUUUCCGAGGACAUGCAAAAACCGAUAAUAGAUCUCGUCGUUAAUAUUAAAUAUAAAAUGAUGCUUAUGAGAAUUCAUUACUAUUAAUUUAAUAUAAUAAAUAAUAGGAGGCAACUUUAUGCUAAAAAAGAAGAAAACAGAAGUAUAUGCUUUAGGUCAACAUAUAUCUAUGUCUGCUGACAAAGCACGAAGAGUCAUUGAUCAAAUUCGUGGACGUUCCUACGAAGAAACACUUAUAAUACUAGAGCUCAUGCCCUAUUGAGCAUGUUAUCCCAUUUUUAAAUUAGUUUAUUCUGCAGCAACAAAUGCUAGUUACAAUAUGAGUUCCAACGACGCUAACUUACUCAUUAGUAAAGCUGAAGUCAAUGAGGGUACUACCAUAAAGAAAUUUAAACCCCGGGCUCGGGGACGUAGUUAUCCGAUAAAAAGACCUACCUGCCAUAUAACUAUUGUAAUGAAAGAUAUAUCUUUAGAUGAUGAAUACGUAAAGAUAAAUUCACUAAAAAAACCUAGAUGGGAAAAUAAACAUACAGCUAUGGUAUAUCAUGAUAUGUAUAGUAGUGGAGGAAUAUGGGACAAAAAAUAAAUCCACUUGGUUUUAGACUUGGUACAACCCAAGGUCAUCAUUCUCUUUGGUUUACACAACCAAAAAAUUAUUCUGAGGGUCUACAAGAAGAUCAACAAAUAAGAAAUUGUAUUAAAAAUUAUGUUCAAAAGAAUACGAAAAUAUCCUCUGGGGUAGAGGGAAUUGCACGUAUAGAGAUUCAAAAAAGAAUCGAUUUGAUCCAAGUAAUAAUUUUUAUGGGAUUCCCAAAACCAUUACUAGAAAAUCAACCACGAGGAAUCGAAGAAUUACAGACGAAUCUACAAAAAAAAUAUAAUUCUGUGAACAGAAAAUUUAACAUUGCUAUCACAAAAAUUGCAAAACCUUAUGGAAACCCUAAUAUUCUUGCAGAAUAUAUAGCUGGGCAAUUAAAGAAUAGAGUUUCAUUUCGAAAAGCAAUGAAAAAGGCUAUUGAAUUAACUGAACAAGCAAAUACAAAGGGAAUUCAAGUCCAAAUUGCAGGUCGUAUCGACGGAAAAGAAAUUGCACGCGUCGAAUGGAUUAGAAGGGGUAGGGUUCCUCUACAAACCAUUCGAGCUAAAAUUGAUUAUUGUUCCUAUACAGUUCGAACUAUCUAUGGUGUAUUAGGCAUAAAAAUUUGGAUAUUUAUAGACGAGGAAUGAUAAAUAAACUUUGACUUUUCCUUCUAUCUAAUUUAGAAAGCUAAACCUCUUCAUUCUUUUUCUCAAAACUAGUUUUAAUUCUAUAAGGUUGAAUAAAAAUUCGAUUAAUCAUUUGAGAAAAUUGCCAUGCUUAGUGUGUGACUCGUUGAUUUUUUUAGGGUUAGAAUUCAAAAAAUUGGCCCCCCUAAUAGCCAACCUAUCACUUCGCAUUAUCUCGAUCUAAAGCUAAAGAACCAGUCAAGAUGUGACCGAUAUAUCACAUCCUUGUAGCAACUGAAAUUUUUUUUAUGUUCUUGCAAAAAUAAAUAUGAUUUUAAGUUGGAAAGCAAAAUAGAGAAGAAAGCUGCGGAUAAAUGGAAGGAUGAGAGAAAGAGAAAAAAUAUCUAUGAUAUAGAAUUCCAAUAUGUAAGGUCUAUGAGUGAUCUCAUAAAAGGCAGUGUAAUAAAGCAUCAAUACUGAUUCAUCCAUAAUUAAAUGACUCUUCUUAUAGAACAUUUUAUAGUAGAACAUUAUAGAAUAAAACAAAAAAAAAUAAAGAGCUUCGAGACAAUAAAGACUGAGAAAAUUGACUCAAGAACAAAUUUCAUUACUAAGCUCCGUUGUAAAAUUUGGACCUAAACAUUAAAGUAAGAAGUGACGGGAACGAUGGAAACUGUGAAUCCAAAAGAUUUUAUUAAAAUGAAUCUUAAUGAUUCGCCGGUCGGGAUGGCGGAACAAACCGGAGACCAAUUCAUCUAUUCUGAGAAGUAACGAGAUAAUCCUAAAAUUGAAAUGGAAGAGUAAAUAUUCGCCCGCGAAAACUUUCUUUUUUAAAUUCCUAAAUUUGAACGAUAAAAAAAUACAAUUUAUAAAAAAAUAACAAUAUGAUUUCUAAAAUAAAAAAUCUACUAAAACAAGAUACACAAAUUACUUAUAUAUUAG
rnacentral:lncRNA from 1 species